ACUUUCCAAUUACAUUUGGUAACUUUCCAGAAAGCAUAUUACUAGAAAGCUCAAGAUGUUCAAGAUUAUUAAAAUCAAACAACCAUUUGGGUAAACGACAAUUGAAAAAGUUUCCAGAAGCCUUGAAGGUUGUGAGAGAAGUCAAGUUAACUGGACCAUCAGGAAAUGGGCUAGUAAAAUUACAGUAACUCAGGUCAAGAAAAAUGAGAUUUGGGAGGUUGAAAACCCAUUUCGGAACAGAAGAGCUUAAUUUGUAAUUGAAAGAAAGAUCAAGAAAUUUGAGUGAAGAAAAAUUGUGAUGAUCAAGUAGAGGUGUUAUAUGAUGAAGACUACAACUGGAUAAACGAAGAUCAACAAGAGAAGGAAGCAUGUUAAUAACCUGUAGCCAUUCAUUAACUUUGCUAAGAUCAACACUUACCAUCUGUAGGUUCUCAAGACUCGAAAGACUUGGCAGCCACUCAAGGCUAUUUAUCCUUGGAUAAGUAAACUCGAGCCUAUCAAAAAACAUACCUCGCCCAAUCUCUUCAUGACGAGUUACAUAACCUAGAUGUAGUUCAAUCACAUGACGAGAUAGAUUGUUGCACACGACCCCUUCCCAUUCACAACAAUCUUUUCCGACAAUCCAAGAAGAUGGAAUAUCCGAUGGAUCGUGUAUUUCUUUCUUCAAGGUCUCCAAUGCUCGUUGCUCGUUUUCUCUACAAAUCCCUACACAAAUGACAAACUUGGUAUUUUUCAAAAUAAAAAACAAGAGAACCCAUAGUGUUAUUGUUAACACUUUCAUGGUGUGUAAUGUUUUAGACUAGCAAGUGAAAAGUAUUUGCUUAUAUUUUUUUUUUCUUUGAAAUUGUAUAUAUUAAUUAAGUCAACAAGUCUUCUCUACAACUUUAUCAAUUGUCCCUGUUUGGGCCAUGCAUGCAAUGGUGGAUCCAGAAAUUUUAUUUCAUGGGUGCUCAAUUAUUUUUAGUUUGAGAAUUGCUAUAUAAAGUGGGUGCUUAGUUAAUACAUUAUUAGAUAAAUUAUUAGAUAAUACAUUUGAAUAAAUUAUUAGAUAUUACAAACAAAUAUUAGUGUUUAUUGCAAAAAGCAAUAGAUGCUUAAGCACCCAUAAUUCAUAACAUACAUCCGCCACUGCAUGCAUGCUCACGUUGAUGAAGUUGUCUUGCUGAUAAAAGAGGACUUUUCUUAAAAAGUUAUAAACAACAAAUGCAGUGUUUUAAAAGGCGGGGCAUGAGGUGAGCUUUUUAUACAGUACGGGGUGAGGCGUAAGCCCAUGGAUCAACAUGUUUUAUAAUUUUAUAAUAAUCUCUUUCAUAAACAAGGUUAAUUAGAUAAUUUUAUUGUUUUUAAAAUAAUUAUAAUAUCAACUAAUUAAUAAUCAGAUGUUUGAAUGAUUCAUUAUUGGUUGUUUGACUCGAAGACUUGUUGAUUUUAAAGAGUUUUUUUUUUCUUCCUCAUAAUUGUAUGUAUUAAUUAAUUAAGUCAAGAAGACUCCAACAAGUCUCCUCCACAUUCCACAACACUAUUAAGGUCACAUUUGAAUUUGAUUUGAAAUCAUGAUUUGAAGUUAAAGUUGAAGUUUGGAUAUGAAACUCAAAUUUCUUAAUUAAGUUGUAUCUUUUAGUCAAUAACAUGAAAAUUUUACAGGUUGUGAAAAUUAUAUAUAAAAAAAAAUUAACACUUAUAUUAUUUUACUAAAUGAGCAAAUCAUAGUUCAAAAAUUGCUAUAAAAAUUGAAGUCGACAAUCUAAUAAUCUUAAACAUGUCAUGCGAAAUUUUUUUUUUUAAAGUUGCCAAAAAGGAAAAAAAAUAUUAUUAUUUUUUAAAAUGAAAAUUGAAGUUAUGUUUGGAUAUGAACAAUAAAUUGAGUUGUUUUUGAAUUUUUGUGAGUGAUUUGGAGUGAAAAUUUGGAAAAACAACUUAUUGAAGAUAGGCUUUUCAAAUCUCAAAAAUAUUCAGAAUUCAACUUCAAGUUACCUUUUAUGUGGCACCGACAGAAUUUCGAGAGUCACUUGAAUUUUAUCAAUCUUUUUAAUAUUUUAAUUUGUUAAUUGUUGUGAUUUAUAAUAUUUUUAGGUAAUUUUCAAAUAUAUACUAACUAAAAAGGAAAAGUAAGACAAACAAAUUAAAACAAAAAAAAAAACACAGAAACUCCACAAUUACCCUCAGCUAGAAGCAAACACGUCGACGAAGGAAUGCCUAGCUACUUCUAGCCACUUCUUUAAAUGAUCAAAUUAUUCUUAUCGAAGAAGCAGACAUGUUGACAAAGACAUGCUAAUAGUAAAAUAAUUCAAUUUUUGUAUCUAUAUGAAAAUAUUCCAUUAAUAAUCCACGGUACAGUCUUUCCACGUAGUUUCUAAGCACAUCGAUCCCUCUCAUAUGUUUCCAAGUUGUCCUUCUUUCACGCACAAUUGACUUGUCAGAAUGGAAAUUUUGUUCGUAAUUUGACUAGUUAUUACUUCCUAUAUCUUCAUUUUAUAUGUAUUAAUUUUUUUUAAAACUUACAUAAAUUUCACUAAUUUAGGAAUUAAUUAUUCAGAUACAUUCUAAUAUGUAAUAUUGCGAAUCCUAUAAGAUUUUAGUGCAUCCAGAUAUAUUUAGAUAUGUUCAAAUACAUGUUUUUCGAGAUACAUGCAAUCAAAAUUAAGCGUAAUUUAUUCUAGAUACAUCGUAUCCAAUUGAAUUUGCAUGUAUCGAUCUAGGAUACAUAGACAAAUCUCUCCCGCCUCCCUUCCAUCUCGCUCGUCACUCUCCUAUGUAUCGGGUACCCCAGAUUCAUGUGGAUCACACCAGUUACAUACAAAUGCAUGUAUCUAGUGUGUACCUAGUAUGGUUCGCAUGUAUCUGGGAUAAAUUAUUAUCUGACUCACCUCCCUCCCCAUUUCGCUUGCCUCUCUUCCUAUUUCAAUGUAUCUAGUAACAAAAAUACAUGUAUCUAAAUUCUAGGUAUAUCUUCCUCAAUUCUAGAUAAUUUUAUUAAUUUUAAAAUAAUUAUAAUAUCAACUAAUUAAUAAUCACUUGUUUGAAUGCUUCAUUAUUGGUUGUUUGACUCGAAGACUUGUUGAUUUUAAAGAGUUUUUUUUCUUCUUCCUCUUAAAUUGUAUGUAUUAAGUCAAGAAGACUCCAACAAGUCUUCUCCACAUUCCACAACACUAUUAAGGUCCCAUUUGAAUUUGAUUUGAAAUCAGAUUGAUUUGAAGUUAAAGUUAAAAUUUGGAUAUGUAACUAAAUAUAAAAGGUAUCCUAUCAGUCAUUCCCAAAAAAAUUGCCUUUAUUCGCUGCAAAAGGGCAAAGAAAUGUUGAUUUUAAAAAAUGAAAUGGAAAAAUUAAGAAUUACAAAAUAAGGGUUUAAAAGAGUUAAAAAGAAAAGUAUAUACUUAUAUAUAAUAGAAUAAUAUCUUCUUUCACGAAAAGAUUAUGAAAAUUGAAGUUAUGUUUGAAAUGACUUUCUGUUACAACACCUUCCAACUUAUUGUUAGUAUUGAAUUUCCAGUAAGUUUAUUACCAUCUAGUCUCAGUUCCAUUAAUGAAGACGUAUCUCCCAAUCCCAUUGAAAAGAAGUUACUCCUACCUUUGAAUAAUUCAGAUACUUGUCCCUCAAAUUGAUUUUUUGAAAGAGAAAGAAAUUCUAAUUUCCCUAAAAUUCCAAUUACAUUUGGUAACUUUCCAGUAAGCAUAUUACCAGAUAUGUCAAUAUUAGUUAUUGAGCUCAAAUUUGAAAUCAGACUUGAAACUGCUCCCUCAAGACGGCUUUCACUAAGGUAAAGUGAUUCUAGAUCUUUGCAUCGAUAGAGCCAAUUUGGUAUGGUGGAGUUAAGGUUAUUAUCAUAAAGAUCGAACUAUUUAAGUGUUGUUAUGUUUCCACUCUUAUUUGGUAUUGCACCUUUAAUACCACUAGAACGGAGGUUAAGAUGUUCUAGAUUACUUAAAUCAAAAAACCAUUCAGGUAAAAGACAAUUGAAAGAGUUUUCAAAAGCCUAGAAGGUUGUGAGAGAAGUCAAGUUAACUGGGAAAUGGGCCAGUAAAAUUACAAUCACUCAAAUUAAGAGAAACAAGAUUGGAAAGGUUGAAACCCAUUUGGGAAUAGGUGAAUUAAACCUAGAACUAGAAAGAUCAACCAAAGAAGGAAGCAUGUUAAUAACAUGUAGCCAGUUAGUUGCUUCGCAGAGAUCUACAUGAUACAUUUCCAGGUUCUCAAGACUCAAAAGACUUGACAACCACUCUAGGUUAUUGAUCCUUAGAUAACUUAUGUGUAGUUCAAUCACACAACGAGUUAGAUUGUUGCACACAACUCCUUCCCAUUCACAACAAUCUUUUCCGACAACCCAAGAAGAGGGAAUAUCCAAGGGAUCAUCUACUUCUUUCUUCAAGCUCUCCAACGCUCGUUGUUCAUUGUCUCUACAAAUCCCUACACAAACGAAUAAAAAACAAGAGAAACCAUAGUGUUAUUGCUAACACUUUCAUGGUGUGUAAUAUUUUGGACUGAAUAGUAUGUGUGGCAAGUAUAAUUUCUUGCUAUAUGUAUAUACUAGUAAAAAUGGCCGGGCAAACAACAUGAGCAAAGUUAAUAGAUUUGUUUUAUUGUGCAUUUGUAUUACAGAUGAAAUUAGUAGUGACAAAAUGUAAAACGAUCAAAAGUGAGAUUUAAUGUAUAAAAUGAAGAAAUAGAAAUAUAAAAUGCAGCCACCACAGGAUUUCUAAUUUUCAAUUGGAAUGACAUUUGGAAAUGACCCAUUGGGAUUAAGAUACAACUUUAUUUUUUACAUGUAUAGAGAACAUAGAAAUACCGACCAAUAAAUCUGAUAUAAGUACAUACUUUAGCCAACGAUGUACACAAGGAGGUAAUCUUUGGUAUUAUUCUUUACCCAAACCAGUAGUAUCAAAUAGAAGGGCAUGCUAUGAAGUCAUUGACUUCAUAUAAAUUUUCAUGCCUCUUUUCUUGCAAAAAAUGUGAGGUAUGCUACAUGAAUAAAGAAUAUAUUAGAUGAAGCAAUAAAAAUACAAAAUAUUGUUGAACCAGGUGACUUGAAGGAAUGUUUUGGUAAUGCACCUUUGGAAUACUGGUUGAGCAAAUUGUGUAAAUCCAGUACCCAAAGCCUGAAAUAAGAGAAUGGUUAUCGGCAACAUUCCAAGUUUAUUGUCUCCACACCCACUCAAUCCGCAUGUUCGACCAUCCCACCCCCUAGUACCUCCGAACAACUUACUCUCCAUCCCACUCCCAUAGUGUACUGCUAGAUAAAAUAUAAAUGCAUUGGGGUUAAAAAAAUAUAGCUUGGUCACAGGCAGUGAUACCCAAAUGAAACAAAAAGAAAUUAAAGAUAUGAACCAGAUUCAGGACUAAACAUGGAUCUUGUCCUGCAAAUAAUGAAAAGUCAAAGAAGUAUCAAGCUGACAAAUAAUAGCAUGUGAACCUUCAAAUUUUGUCGAACAGAUUCUUCAUGUAUCUCACGACAUCCCUUUUUGUAUCACUGAAUUUAAUACAUUCCGACAGCAUCAUUAACAAAUAUACUGAAGUUAUAUGAGUCAUUCAAAAUAAAAAAUAAAGAAAAGUUGAUAAUUUCUUAAGCUAGAAUUGUCCGUGUAAAUCAGAGAUGCAAGAGAUACAUUACUAAAUUGGUUUGCAGCUCUUCAACACACAACACAGGACGAACUAAUUGUCUAGCAAAUGACCAUUAUACUUUAGGGUUUCGUUUGGUGUGAGAGAUAAAAAUAAAUAGUGAUGGGAUACGGAAAUAGUGAUAGGAUAAAAUAUUUGUAUCUUGUUUGGUUGUCAUGUUUAAGAUAACUUUUCCCACCAUUUAUAUCAUAGUGAUGGAAUAAGUUAUUCAAUAUACUGGUGGAAUAAGUUAUCACAUGAUAGCUAAAUCUUGGGAUAACUUGUUCCCAACCAAAUGACCCUGCAGAACUCUACCAGCCAACCAAUGGACAAACGAACGAACGAACCAUAACCAACCGACCCCUUAAAACUAAAACAGAUAAAAAGAUGAAGCUGAAAUUGACAGAAAUAUCAAAAGAAGCAGAAAUCAAUGUCCAACUCAAGUCCCUUACUGGAAACUUUUGUAGUUUGAAAACCUCCUCCCAGGAUACACACACGAUCCAACACACACGGCGUUAGUGAAGUCGCAAACAAUUUGUAAAAUUCUGUUGCGUUGCCAGGACGAUUUCUUGUUUGUUGAGGAUUCAUUGAUACUCUGAUCACUUUACUAAUCUAUAUAUAGUGCAACACCAGAGACAUCGUAAAGAAUCACAACACCGAUAAAUUGAAUAUACACAAAGAUUCUAUUUUAGAGAGAAUUUAAUAAAUAAUUGGGAUCGUAAAGAAUCACAACACCCAUAAAUUGAAUAUAUGCAAAGAUCCUAUUUUGGAAAGAAUUUAACAAAUAAUUUGGAGCAUAAAUAUUCUUAAAGCAUGACUAUGAUUUAAGGUAGGAAUGUUAAUUUGGAGGCACACGAAGGGAAAAAAAUUCAAUAUUUUUAUUUUAUUGAAGUAACGCUAGAGUGGAACUGAUUAGAACAAUUUUCAUUAUUCUAUUCAUUCAUUUCAUUUUGCAUUUCCAUCAGUCACCAAAAUGAAAAACUUAUGAGUGUUUUCGUAGAUGUUUGAGGACCUAAUUACCAAAGUAGCUCAAAAUUAUAAGCAAAGGUAACCUAAAAUUAUCAGGUAAAGCAAGUUAAAUCUUUCAUUGAAAGAAGCAUCCAACAAAAAUAAAAUAAAAUUGAAAUUAAAACCCAAGACAAUCUCAAAUAUAAAUUACACUGAUAAUCUGAGAAUAUAGCAUAAAAAAACUCUUACCUGGUAGUUAACUGUACAACCAACGAAUAUAAAUUGAGCAACAUAACACCAAGGGAAAACACAGGGAAAAAGAUGAUAAACCAAAAAGUGGAAAGGAAGAAAAGGAAAAGUAAAGCUGUAGAGAAGGUGAAGUGAAGUGAGAAAGUUCCGUAAAGAAAGAGCAAAUAAGUACACGUGUGAAAUGACUGUGCUCCCAAAUCAGACGCAACAAAAUAAAUGUUGUACAGCGGAAAUGACGGAAAUGCCCUCUUGACCCGAAGCUCCUCUUUUCUCAUCUAUUAUAUAGAGUAAUAGCUAUUAAUAACCGUAUAGUAUAAUUGAAAAUAAAUGUGGACUGCUUGACUUUAAAGUGUUUUUUUUUUUUUUUUUUACUCCCUCCGUUCCGGGUAGAUCAUGUUUCCGGUCAGAUCUGAAAACUCACCGGCGGGAUCUAAGGGAGAAGAGAAAGAAGAUGAGAAGCAAAAAUGCGGUGCUUGUAUAUACCACUCAUAUCCUUACAGUCUGUGUAGUUGCUAUAUUGUGAUGCAACUGCGUGUGGGUCUCUUCUGUCUCUCUUUGGGUGUGUGAGGGGUUUACUACAUUUAACUUCUCAUGUCAUAAGUCAUACUCCCUCCGUUUCACAAAGAAUGACCUCCUUUCCUUUUUAGUCAGUUUCAAAAAGAAUGACCUCUUUCCUUUUUUGGUAAUAUUUUACUUUUUGCUUUCCACGUGGCAUGUUUAAGACCACAAGAUUAAAGGCAAUUUUGUAUAUUUGACAUAACUUUAAUUUAGGACCACAAGAUUCAAAAGUCUUCUUUAUUUAUUUAAACUUUGUGCCAAGUUAAACCUGGUCAUUUUUUGUGAAACGGAGGGAGUAUAUAUUAAUUAAGUCAACUUUAUCAUGUCCACCAUGUCCAUAAUGAUAAAGUUGUCUUGUUGAUAAAAGAUGACUUUUCUUAACGUUUUCAUAUUAGAAGAAAAAAGGACUUUUCAUAACGUUUUGUGAACUUAGGUUAAAAAUGGGUGUAAUUAUUUAAAUAUGUUGUAGUAAAUUUGUCGUGUAAAAUAUUGAGAUAGAAAAACUUAUUAAAUAUAAAGAAAGACACUCAUUUUUAAAACAAAUUAAAAAGUAAAAUAAAACACUUAAACUAAAACCAAGAAAAUGUAAUCAUUAAGUUUAAAAUCAAAUAUUUAAUAAAUUUCUUAUAAUAAAUAUAGACGAUAUGAAGUGACCCCAUAAAUCUUAAGCUAGCUCCAUCACUUUGUUAGAGUUGAACAUUUUAAAGAGUUCUCUUUUUUCUCCAAUUAAGAGCACAUUUGACCAUGCGAUAUAAAAACAUGGUUUGAAAUCAUGAGAUUAAGUUGAAGUUGUUUGGCAUACAUUGUGAACUUUUUAUAUUGUAUGUUUUCUCAUAAACAUAAAAAAACUCAUAAGUUGUAAAAAAAUUAAAAUUAUUCCAAUUCUUUAUAUAAUUUUACCAAAUAAACAAAAAAUUAUAAAAUCGCAUAAUACAUUAUCACAAAGUUAAUGUAAAAAAAUAUUUAUUGAUCAAACUUUAAUUCAAUAAUAAAAAAAUAAACAUAAGUUGUAGUGCACUCUUUAGAUAAAUUUGAUAAGAAAAUAGUGAAUAUGGGUGAAUAUAAAUGGUAAAGUAGGAAUUGAUUUGAAGUAAUAAUAAUAAAUUUUAUGUUGGUGAGAAUAAUCAUUAAAUGAGAUAUUUUAAAAGUAACUAUAAGAAUUAUAAAUUUUAUUUAAAUAUAAAAUAAAUGGUUUGUAGAUAUAAAUGUGAGGUUUUUUUUACAAAUACUUGAGAGUCAAUUUUUGUAUUUAGAAAAUCUCAAAUCAUGAUUUUUGGAGAUUUUGAGAUUUCAUGAGAUGAAAUCAACAUCAUAUCUAAAUAUUAAUUUCAUCUUAUAAUUUUAUAUCAUGAGAUGAAAUCGCAUGAUAAAACGACUAUUAAUUAAGCAAGUCUUCUCUACAACUUUACCAAGUGUCCCUGUUUGGGCCAUGCAUGUCCACCAUGCCCACAUUGAUGAAAUCGUUUAGUUGAUAAAAAGAGGACUUUUCUUAACGUUUUCACAUUAGAAGGAAAAGAAAAAAAGAAGGGUUAAUAAUAGUUACUUCUUUUGUUCCAUAUUAGUUAUUAUAUUUAUUUAUUUUAAAUCUUAUCCUCAUCUCUCAACAAAGCUAGCUACUCUUAGUGGUAUCUGAAUAAUCAUAACAUCAUCAACUAAUAAUCAUGUAUUUGAACUCAGGAUAUAAUCAAUAAUAAUAUUUAUUUUCAAGAACAAUUAAAUAAGGGGAAAUAAUUACCUUAUAAAAUGACAAAUGUUUUGAAAUAAAUUAAUGGGAAAAAAGUCUGAAAAAUACUUCAACUUUGACAUGGAGGACCUUUUACCUCAUGCACUAUUUAAUAAUGUAUUUUAAAGGUAUAUAUGUGGACACGUUACUAUUUAUAAUGAUGCAAUAUUUAUGAUGUCCACGUGGGCAUAUAUAUACCUUUAAAAUACACUAUGAAAUAGUGCAGGGGGAUAAAAGGUCAUUUCCAAAGUUCGAUAUUGUUACAACAAUUUCGGUCAAAGUUUAGAUAUAUUUCAGACCUUUUUCCUUAAAUUAAAUAAGUAUUUUAAAUAAUAUUGACAACUACUAUAAGACUGAGAGAGUUGCUUCCAAAAAAUCAGAGGUUCAAUACAGGUGGCGAUGUGGAAAAUCACAUAUCAUAAGAGAGCUUCCAUGGGGUGUAGUCAACUUCCAAAUAAGAAACAAAUUCGAAGUCUGAUGGUAGAGAUUUUCUUGAUCUUCCUCUUGGUGGUAUGACUCAAAAGACUAUCCAUCUCUUGUCUGCUAUUCAUUGGGCAGAAUAGAUUUAUGAUUGCUUUCGUAAAUAAUUUUAGUUUUAGAAAUUCAAAUUUUCAAAUGGAGCUUAAGUGACCUUUGGCUUUCGAUAAGGAAAUUUAAUAAAGAAGGAAAGGAUAUUGGAAUGCAUGGUUUUAAACCUAUAAUGAUAUUUUUGUGGAGAAAAGGCUCAAAAUAGAUCAUUCUUAUUCCUUUUUCACAUGGAACACUAAUAUAAUUGUCCCUUUUGUUUGUAAUAUUGAUGCACUUUUGGUCCUCUUAAACUUUCGUCUAUUUUUAACAUUAAUUUUGUCCACAAUUUAGAGUAUGGAAUGUUUGGUGUUCUUCCUCUAUAUUUAGUAGAAACAAGAACUCUAGGAGGGAAGAUGAGAAGAAGAGUGUUCUAUUAAGAAAACUGAAUUUAGAUGCGAACUUCGUCACUAAUUCACUUGUAGCUAACAUAAAUUGAUCGUUGAGUAAGAGUAACGAUAAAUUUUGUUGUUUAGCUAUAAAACUUGUCUGUGGCUAAAUCCUAUAUAUCUUUUUUAGUCCAAACAUCAUUGUAGCUAAUCAAAUCAAGAAUCUACCUUUAUUUGUACUGUUGCACAUGAAAUCUUACAUAACGAGCCUUUCGAUCUCAAAAUGUAAAGACAAGUUUGAGGGGGGACCAAAACUGCACCAAUACGAUAAGUAUGAAGGAUUAUUAAUGUUCCACGUGAAAAAGUAAGGAUAACAUUGAGUCUGAACACAAAGAUAAGAGACACUUUUAUACUUUUUCUCAAUUUUUGUGCCUAUAAAUUAUGUCAUAAAGGGUAAAAUAAUUUUCUUAUUUAAUGAUAAUUUCCUUUUGACUUUUCUUAUUUUGCUCAUGAACCAAUUCCAUAAAAUUUUGGUAUUAUGACAAAAAAAAGAAUGCUCUUUAUGAAAUAUUUGUGGUACAAUUUUCUAUUAUCAUUGAAUAAUCUUUUUGCUGUAUGUACAUGAUGAAUAGGGUUGUGAUGCAUCAAUUCUAUUGGAUGGACUCACCAGUGAGAAAAAAGCAGUCCCAAAUUCAAGUGUUAGGGGAUAUGAACUCAUUGAUGCUAUUAAAGAAGCUUUAGAAGCAGAAUGUCGAGGCCUAGUUUCUUGUGCAGACAUUAUUUCUAUGGCAACUAGAGAUGCUGUUGUCUUGGUAAAUUUUUCAUUUUAUUUCAUCAUUAUUACUUCCAUAUAUCAUUUGAGAUUUUCUAUGUUACUACUAUAAUUAAGUCCUUUGAUUGUUAUCGAUAUGAUGUGAGGCUAAUUUGUUAAUCGUAAUGAACUUAAUUAUAUUCAAAAAAAAAGUGAGAAGACCUUUGACCUAGGUUGAGAAGGGAUUGGGCCACUUUUUUUUAAAUAAAAAAAAACAAUAAUUCUCAACAAGGCUCGAAGACCUUUGACUAGAUUUGAAAUGGAUUAGGUAAAACAUCCAUUUAAAACAUGGGCGGGAUUAAUUAGUAAUUUUCUCUAUUUCUUCAAUGGUAGCACUUUUAAUCUGUCUCAAAAAGAGUUUUUCUUUCUAUAUUUAGCAAGUUUUUCAGUUUCAAUAUUUUAUAUGACAAUUAGUUUAAGAUCACGAGAUUUAAAUGGACUACACACAUCAUUAAUCUAAGAUGACAAGAUUCAAACAUCUCAUUUAGUUUCUUAAACUCCAUGCCCAGUCAAACUAAAGAGUAAUGUUUUUUUUUUUCAUGACUUAUUUGAUUGGCCUUGGAGUUGAGACAACACUAAAGAUUCCUGAAACUCGUGGUCUUAAUACGAUGAGACGUUGAAAUUAUAUUAUUUAUGACAUAUAUAUACAUGCAUUCUAAUUUGUGUUAGUUUUGAUUAAAAAAUGUCAUAGGCUGGAGGAAAAUGGUAUGAUGUAGAAACAGAACGAAAGGAUGGAGAUGUUUCCUUAGCUUCAAAUGUGAAUCUUCCUGCUGCUACAAUUUCAGUUUCUGAUUCCAUCAAACUCUUUGCAAGCAAAAAUCUUACUCAAUAUGACAUGGUUUAUCUUCUAGGUAAUCAAUCCUUCAUUUUAUUGGGAUGAUGUCCAGUAGCAUGUGUGCAAUUCGACAAUUUUAUCAUGUACAUAUUAUCUCCCACCAGGGUGAAUAUACCAAGUAACUCUAUUCACUGAAUUUGAGACGGGUAAAAUUAGAAAAUACCUAACACUUUUUUACUUUUACUAAGAUUUGAAAAGUGGUGGAUUUAUGGUUCACAUUUCAUUAUGUUGCCCAUAUUAGGGCACACCUUUGGAUACUUUCCUGUUUAACGUAACGUUUUUAUUUGUCAACCUUUAUCUUAUCCUACAUAUUCUUUUUAUGACAAUGGUACUCAAACUAGCUUGCGAGUUGCAUGCACCUAGAGUAUAUACUGUACUAUUUUACUAAAAAUCCAAAGGUAGAGCCAUGUGAUUUUAAAUUUAAGGGUUUUAGGCCAUAAUCUUCUUUGGUUACCGUGUUUUUAGAUAGAUAAUUAAUUAUAAUAUUAAAUAAAUUUUUAAACAUGUAUGCCAAAAUUAUGUUGAGUUCUGUUGUCAAGCCUCAAACCUACACCCUGGACGUGGCCGGUACUCGAGAACCAUUGCUGGCCCCAAGCGAACCCUUGGCCUGACUAACUUACUCAGCGGAAGACUUAAACACAAGAGAUAUAACUCAUGAAAUAACUUCAUAAAUAUCUUAGCCAAAAAUAGCAACUCAAGUUUUAAACAAAUACAACUAAAACGAAUAAGACUAAAGAACUAUAACUAUCUGUCUACGAAGCCUCUAAAACAAGGAGGGAUGUCGGGGCAGGACCCCGAUCAUCCUAACAACUGAAAACUAGAAAGCAAAUGAUAAAAAGAGUCCUCCGGAAUGCAAGGAGGUUCACCAACUGAAUCUGAGUGCUGAACAUGAUCAACGAGGUGCUAGAUGCUAAUCUUGGUUACCUGCAUCUGCAUCAUAAAACGAUGUAGGCAAACUGGCAUGAGUACAUUGAAUGUAUGAGUAUGCGAGUUGGAAUGCUAAACAUAACAUAGGCUUGAAAAGAUUCUGAAAGAAACACUUACCUUGGCUCUUCUCAACUCAGAAUACUCAACUCAAAAUAAAGCAAUGAAACACAUGCAAUAUAUGAAAAGCUUUAUAAAACAGUAAAAACAACUUAGUUCGUUAAAGAAAAUGCAAUAACAAACUCAACUUUACUCAUAUAGUAAAGUAAUAUAGUUUCUAUGGGAGUUUCUCUAACAGAUAACCACCACUAUGAGCCUAAGUGGUGAUACAACGUCUUGCCUAUGCUGCCAGAACUGUCCUAUACUUUGCCGUCAUAUAGAACGCUUAACUUAGUGGAUCCAUUAGCUUAUGCUAAAAGCAUCUUAAGGAGUCAUCUAAAAAGUAUGAUUCUUUACUACCCAUGAUGACUACAUGGUUUAUGGAGACGUGAGUUAUCUGAACUCAAACUUGUCCCCAUAUCGGUGCUCAAUACUACUCCCAAAAUAUCUUAGCUCAUAUGUUUUGUAAAAACAAAACUUCUUUCUUUGGUUUGAGAUAAUUACUCAAAAAACUUAGCUUAAAAGCUCUCUUGAAAUCGAUGUUCCCUUUCUUUCUCAAAUGUGAAAACAUUUUUUAAACUCUUUGGGAAUACAUAGUCCCCAUAUACUUCUUUGAAGAAAUGAACUUCAAUCUUUACUCUUUACUCUUUACUCAACUUGAACUUUAAGUCUUAAAACAAAGUUAAAACGUUUGUAAAAGAUCUUUGAAAACAUUGAUGACUAUAACUUCCCUUGACUAGCUUCUUUAAAUUCUAGACUUGACUCCUAACUUUCCUUGAAUUGAAUUAUGGAUUCAAGGAUCAUGAUUUGAGAUAGGAAAGAUCCCAUGAUGUUUAGGAGUGUUUUUAGAUAGCUACACUUGAGAAAAUAUCAAAAUUUCACUGUUUGAAGGUGCGUUCGCGAUGCGGAGAAGUAUUUCAAUUUUUGGUUCGAAAACAACUUUUGAGGCAGAACGGUCUGUGACCGCUCCGCGAUGCGAAAUGAUUUUUUCCCAAAUCUAGGGAACAAGUCCGCGACGCGGAGGCACUGCCUAGAUUUGCCCGACGAAAAUUCCUUCUUCGUUUGGUUCUUUCCCCAAACACUCAGAAUCAUUUAUACCCUCAAAUAACAUCAGAUUCUACUCGAAAACACAACUAAAAACGUGAAUCAAUCUCAAGAAAACUCCAACAACACAACCCACAAGGAUUCAAACGAACUUCAUCAAGAAUUUAAGGGAUUUACUUUCAAAUCAAUAUACUUUGCUGAAAUUGAAUCAAAUUGGACGUGUGGGUGAACUAACCCAACGCUAUGCGAUCUCACAUACCUUGUAGGGAUCACCCCCAAUGAAAUCCACAAGCUAAACUCGACGAUCUUGACGAAUCUUGCUUCUCUUAUCCUUUCUCCUCUUAUUUUCACUUUUCUCCAAGCCCUAGAGUGCUUUGGUAAAAGCGUAAACUGAUCUAAUUCUGAUUAGACCCUAACUUAAUCACCAAAAAUGAAAUAAAAUAAUUGGGCAAGGAAAAGACUAAACGAUCCUUUCAAAAUCCGGAUUGGAUUGUCCUUAUUCCAACAACCCAAAUUUCAAAGGGCAUAAAUUACUCAUACAAACUCGGAAUCGCGCAAACUUAGAGGCAUUGGAAAGGUUAUUCCAAGAUCUUUCCAACCAUAUCUGGAAAUACACAUAACUCAUCCUGAUCUAGGAGUUAUGGCUGUUUGAAGUUGACCAAAACUCAACUUAUUCUAACUUAACAAAAUUUCCAGAUUUUUCAUUCUUUCCAAAAAUGACUAUUUCCAAUUAUUAGCUUCUUCCUAGUCAUUUCAAAUUGCGAGAUGUUACAUCUGUUGAAUCCAUAACUCUGUUUGGUGAAUCUACCGUACGCUGAGUACAUGCUACCUCGUAACCAUUAACCAACAUGGUUACUGAAUAACUUUGACCAUCAAAACUUAGAUAGAUUGAAAGAAAUCACCUAUUGAAAUUUGAACUUUGGCGAUUUUCAUCUCAUUUCAUUGACCGUUUUACUUGUUUAUUUUCAAUUCUAGAUGGCCACACUGUUGGAAUUGCUCGUUGCUCACUCUUCAAAGAUAGAAUAUACAACUUCAAUAAAACUGGUGGUCCUGAUCCAACCAUGAGCCCAUGGCUAUUGGCUGAAUUAAAGGAUAUAUGUCCUAGAAUUUCAUUAAUAUUUGACAACACUUAUCCUCUUGACGUGAAGACUCAAUCUUUGGUAGAUAAUUCAUAUUUUCAAGAAAUUAAAAAGGGAAAUGGAGUUCUUCAAAUUGAUCAACAAAUAGCAUUAGAUGAAUUGACAAAGAAUAUUGUGGAUGAUAUUGUUAAUGAUCCUGAUUUUUACACUAAGUUUGGUGAGGCCAUGGUUAAAUUGGGUAGAGUUGAAGUAUUAAUUGAUGGACAAGGUGAAGUGAGGAAAUCAUGUAGGGUUGUUAAUAAGAAGCCAUUUAUUUUUGGGGGGGUUCAAUUAGAAAAAGUUUAUUUUUUUAAAAUGUAUUUGCUUAUUGUAUAAGUUUUCUUUUGUUUCAUUUUUUGUAUUGGACCAUUGAUUCUUUGGCAUUUGAAAUUUGAAUAUUGUUGUACUCUUUUUCUUGAGUGUAUUUUUUAUUCUUCUUUUCAUAUACUCCCUCUAUCCCAAUUUAUGUGACACAUUUCAGAUUUCGAGAUUCAAAUAAGUUUAUCUUUAACCGUAAAUUUUUCAUAUAUCUUUUAAAUAUUUUGAAUCAUCAAUUAUUGUCUCUUAUAUAGUAUUUUUUUUAUGUAGUUCACAAAUAUACAAAUUUCAUUUUCAAAGAAUUGAAGACUCUAUGAGCAAAUUCUCGACCAAACUUAAAUUGUUUGACUCUCAAAAAAUGAUUGGGAUAGAGGGAGUAUUAGGUUGCAAUUUGAUUGAUUCUUAUUGGAACUGUUUUGGAUUGUACCUUUCCAUCUUAUGACUCUUUUAUUGUCUAGAAACUCAAAGGUCUUGCCUUAGAUUUAAUACAUUGAUAAUAUCGAAAUCUCAAAACUUUUUUCUAAUAUGAAGUACGAACACACGCGGAACUAACAUUUAAGAAUCAAUAUAAGUCAUAAAAUGAUAUUUUUCAUAAAACUCAUAAAAUAUGCGAAAAAUAGAAACAACUCUUCACAAAAUCUGAUAUCACUAGUACAAGUCUCUAAAAGUAUCGACGAGGAUCAUUUAAACAAGAAAGGUGAUCAAAACACAAGGGUGAGAGAAUAAUUGGGACAAAGAGAAUAAUUUAAGGACAAGCACUACACAAACAAAAAAGAAGAGAAUUAGCUAUGCCAUUUUGUUGCAAAUCUAUCGCAAAAUCGCAUCUAGCUAAUAAUAUUUGUUGAUAAUUCGUUGUCAAUCCAUCGGUAAACUAGUUUACAAUCAAAAGGAUGAGGGAUCAGCCUUGAUCUUCUAAAUGGUUGCAACAUCAGUCUUGAAUGACUUAGCCCAAUCGAAUCUGAUCAUCCAUUGUACCGGUAAUGCUCUAGUCCUUUUUGAAACACAAACAUGUCACCAAUUUGUAGAGUUUGAGUAUAUAUAUAGAGCUUCUUAGUAGUGUCCACUAAGCCAACCUCGAGGCUUCCUUCGAUCAUGAAUAAUAGCUCGGUUGUACGAGGGUGAGUGUGGGGCGGGUUGACGCCCCCGCCACGGAAUUUAAGGACAGCAAGUGAAGUACUCUGUCCAGCCAAAUCAGAGAACUUUGCCUUGCUAGCUUUUGUUACUAUGAAGUUUGCAUAUAAAGACCAUUUUGGCAUUCUCAAUUAAACUUUGACCGAUAUGAUGUCAUGUCAAAAAAUUUCAAAAUGAUUUUUUUUUGUUUGAUUUAUUAUUUAUAUAAUUAUAGUACACAACUUUUUUUAUGAAGUACUUAAAAAAUUAUAAAUAAAGAAAUUAACAUAUGUCUCACAACUCUAUGAUUGAAAAAUGAAAAUUGGAACUAUGAAAGAAACAACAAUGUUUGAACAUCUUCAGAAACAUUCAUUUGAAUACAAAAUGAAACAACAUGAUUGCUAACAUGAGAAAUAUAAGCACACAAACUAACUUUUGAUGAUAGCAAUAUCCUUAAUCAUAUCUCUCAACAUACUGGUAACUUUGCAAGCAACAUUUCCCAGCUACGGUCUAGAAAACGAAAAUAAGCAUGUCUCCAUGAUCUUUUGAAAAGCAAUGAACCACAAACACCCCAAAAGCUUAGUGCAAAACCUAUUGCCAUUGAAAUGUAAAACCAAUCCACUUCAUCUUUGUCACUCUCAUCAUCUUCAUACUUGUGAUUCGGAAUAUUACCAUUCGGACUGCAGUUCAUCAAGAGUGGAAGUCCGCAAAGUUUGUUUCCUUGAAAACUCGUGGAAUCAAAGCUUUGAAGUUGAGUGCUCAAUGGUAUCAUACCUGACAAAUUGUUAAUCAGAUAGAUUCAAGUAGCUCAAUGUAGACAAACUCGAAAACUUGUGGAUUUGACGUAAAGUUGAUUUUCUGAAAGAUCAACAGAUUCCAAGAUUUUCAUGUCACCAAUGUCAUUUGGAAUCCUACCAGUUAGGUUAUUUUUGGAAAGAUUAAAUGAUCUUAAUCCUGCAAGACGUGUUACACUUAUAGGAAUAUCUCCAGAAAGAUUAUUGCUAGACAUAUCCAUACUUGUAAACAACGCCAAAAUGGUGUAAUACGGGUACAUGUUGCCUUUAGUCGUCACCAUUGCACUCUCUAUCAAAACUCCGAUAUAAUAAGAAUAAUGUAAGUCUUCAUCAUAUUCCAAUUCCUUUUUUUCUUUGACCAUCGAACUCAAAUUGCCAAUACACCUUGGUAUGAUUCCAACAAAUGUAUUGUUUGCAAGGUCUAAGAUUUGAAGAUCUUUGAGAUGACAAAGUUCUUGAGGCAAUUCACCAUCGAAUUUAUUGGACCGAAGGAUAAGGACUAUCAAGGUUGGAAACCUCAUUCCUAACCAAGAUGGUAUCUUUCCAAUAAACUCAUUCUCAGCUAAAUCUAUUUUGUGCAGUUUCCUAAGGAUGAAGGAAACAGACCGUUAAGUCUAUUUCUUCGUAAGUCUAAUGAUCGCAAAUUACUCAAAACCUCCAUAGAUCUUGGUAAGCUUCCAAUCAAAUUAUUGUCCCUCAAGAUUAAAACCGUCAACUUUGGCCAAUUCAUCCAACAAUCAGGAAUUUCUUCUGAUAAAUCAUUUCCCCCGAGAUUUAAGAUCUCUAAUCUGUAAGAUCCAUUCUUUGCUGCACACAAAAAGUUAGAUAAACCUUUGGAAAAAGAAUUGUUUGAGAGAUCUAGCUCACUUACAAUGGUUGAAAUCAAAGGUAAUGGUCCACUAAAAUUGUUGGAACCCAAGUAUAUUGUCCAAGGACCUUCAUGUUCAUCCGUCCACGAAGGUGUCGAGAUGAUUGGAACCUCACCAACAAAUUGGUUAUGAGAAAGAUUGAGAAAUCGAAUUUGAGAAGAUAAGUUCCAAAACCAAGUUGGAACCUCACCAUGUAUUCCACCAUCUGAUAUGUUGACAUUCAUUAUCCGCUUUUGAGUUCGGAGCCACAUGGGAAACAAAGGGCCUAUAUUCCAGCCGCGUAAUACAAUGUCUGUGGCUUGAAAAGGUGGAAUCCAAUUCCGACUCACUUUUAAAGUCAGAUUAUUUCUAGAUGCAGCAAAGUAUUGUAAAUGUGUUAAUUUAGAGAAAUGACUUUCUGUUACAACACCUUCCAACCUAUUGUUAGAGAUGAAAAAGUAUUCUAGCAUUGAAAGAUGGCCAACACUUUCCGGAAGAGCUCCUGUGAGUUUAUUAUCGUCUAGUCUCAAAUCAGUUAAAGAAGAAGUAUUUCCAAAUCCAACUGAAAGGAAAUUACUCCUAACAUUGAAUAAUUCAGAUAUAUCUCCCUCAAACAGAUUUCCUGAGAGAAAAAGGGUUCCUUCAAGACGAUUUCUACCAAGGCCAAGUGAUUCUAGAUCUUUGCAUCCAUAGAGCCAAUUUGGUAUAGUGGAGUUGAGGUUAUUUUCAGAAAGAUCAAGAUAUUUAAGUUUUGUUAUGUUUCCGCUCUUACUUUGUAUCGCACCUUCAAUGCCACUAGUAGAGAGGUCAAGAUGUUCAAGAUUAUUCAAAUCAAACAAUCAUUUGGGUAAACGACAAUUGAAAGAGUUUCUAGAAGCCUUGAAGGUUGUGAGAGAAGUCAAGUUAACUGGACCGUCAGGUAACGGGCCAAUAAAAUAACAGUAACUCAGGUCAAGAGAAACGAGAUUAGGAAGGUAGAAAACCCAUUGCGGAACAGAAGAACCAAGGUUGUAAUUCUCAGAAAGAUUGAGAGACUUGAGUGAAGAAAAAUUAUGAUAAUCAAGUAGAGGUGUUAUAUGAUGAAGACUACAAUUGGAUAAACGAAGAUCAACAAGAGAAGGAAGCAUGUUAAUAACCUGUAGCCAUUCAUUAGCUUUGCUAAGAUCAACACUUUCUAUCUCCAGGUUCUCAAGACUCGAAAGACUUGUCAACCACUCUAGGUUAUUGAUCCUUAGAUAUCUCGACUCAAACCAAUCAACAUAAAUUCUUAGCUCAAUCACAUGACGAGUGAGAUUGUUGCACACGACCCCUUCCCAUUCACAACAAUCUUUUCCGACUACCCAAGAAGCGAGACGAUUCGAGGGAUCAUAUACUUCUUUCUUCAAGGUCUCCAACGCUCGUUGCUCGUUUUCUCUACAAAUCCCUACACAAAUGACAAACUUGGUAUUUUUCAAAAUAAAAAACAAGAGAACCCAUAGUGUUAUUGCUAACACUUUCAUGGUGUGCAAUGUUUUAGACUUGCAAGUGAAAAGUAUUUAUAGCUAUCAAGAAGAUGCAUGUAGAUUCCCCCCCCACGUUGAUGUAGUUGUCUUAACUUUUUCACAUUGAUAAUAAAUAAUAAUCCUUCGUCUCAUAUAGUAAAACAUUACUAAAUUAAUAUUUGAUUACUUAAUAAUCUCUUUAAAAUAAUAUUUUUCUUUGAUCCCGACUUGAGCUAGUGGAAAAAAUCACACAUUUUGAUAAGAUAAUAUAUUUUCAGAAAACCCUUAUAUAAAUAUAUGGUUUCAUUAAUAUUAUAAAUUAAUAAUUCUUUAAAUCUAAUUUGAUUCCAAACAGCCCACUUCCCCAAUUCCAUUUUUCUCCAAAUCCCAGCCCACCCCUUUAAUUCCCAGAUCCGGCCCACCCUUUUAGAUUCCUCAAACCCAACAAAAAUAAUAACAACAACAACACGUACAACAUAACCGACCCCACUCUUUUAUUUUUUCCAGCAAUUCCCAACUACCCAGCAGCUUCUUCUUCUUUUUCACGAUUUCAGCACAACAACGUUAACAACAAUGUCAGCAAACGUUCACAAUGCAGUACAAAAAGCACGCGUUUUUCCAUUUCCUCUUUGAGAAUGGGGCGAAAAUUUCAAAAAAAAGUAGGUUUUCCUUUAAUGGUGAAAGGUUUUUGGAAUUCAAAUUUGUGGGCCUUAAACUUGAAAUUGCCCUCACCUUUUCCCCCCCAAAAUCCAAACCCUAAUUUCCCCCCUACAUAACAUCUUUUCUGUUCAUUUGUAAAAGGGGGGGAGAAUUUUAUUUUUUUUUCUGAAGAAUUAGUUAGAAUUUGAGAAAAUUACCGUGAACAUUAGAUACACCUAUUCAUAUAUAGACAUUCGAGAACAUAGGCUUUGGGGGUUAGAGAAAAGUUGGAACUCUUUUUUGAACAAUCGAUUCUUACUUUAAGAAAUUGGAAAUAUGAUUUUUUCUAUUUUUGGGAGUUGAUUCGAGCUGCUGAGCCGGCUGUCCGAGUAUAAAAUUGGUGUGGAACUCGCUGUUGUCUCCUAGCUCGUCCCGUCUCCGUUCACUAAUCACUGCCCCGCAACAGGUGGCAUUCGCCUCUUUUAUUUUCCUAUAUUUCGUCAUCUCUGUUAUGAAAUAUCAGACUUGUUUUAAGUAUUCAUGUCUUGCAAGUAAUUUUUCUUAGUUUGUUUACGAUAACUGUUGAUGCCGAAAUGUAUCUAAAUUACUUUCGAGAUUAGUAUAGCUUUAAAGCUUUGUUUCCAUGGUGUGUUAGACAGCAUGAUUAUAUUACUUGAAUUCAUUUUGUUUGCCAUAUCUAAAUUAUUACUAUUAUUUUUUAAUGUGCAUCAGCUUUUCUUUUUAAAAAUGGUUUGUUAAAAAAAUGUUUUGUUACAAUGUCGUUUCUGUUUUAGUUAAAAAGUAGGCAGAAUGGCCAGCAAUUAAAAUGUUCUCUUAUUAAAAGCCAUGAAAGGGUAUCCUUGUAAAGUUUUAAUUAAAAAAGUAGGCAGUAUAAGGCACCCUUGUAAAGUUUUAUUUUUGUACGUACGUAGUAUUUUAAGUUCUUUGUUGUUUGUUAGUUAAAUCAUGAGUUUUUUUUAGUUUUUUUUUGUGUGUUAAAUAAUAGCACUAUGGUGUGUAUAAAAAAUCUGGAAAGGACAUUACCUUAGUUUGUUUUAGUUCGAAAAAAGUAAAUUGCAGAUCAUAUAUUUUCUUUAAUAAGUGCAACCCAUUUAAAAAAUAUUUUUAAUCUCUUUGUCAUUCUGUUAUAUAUUUGGACGUGUGUAAAUUUGAAGGAUUACUAUUUAAUUCAUGCUCGCUUGCACUAAAAAACUUGAACUUAGUUAUAUCUAUUCUUGUUCGAUAUCGAGUAAAGUUGAUUAUCUUACUAAUCUCUUUACCCUCUCUUUUACUUGCAUGAAUUUGGAGCAAAAAUGGAGUCCCAAUUAAGGACUCUCGCAAAAAAUAGAGUCUCCUGGACUCGUUACGGGCAUACCCGCAUAUGAAGUCUUCACUAUAUCUUAGACUACCCGAAUAGCAAUGAAAGCAAGCAAAACUCAUUUGGUGAAGUUUAUAUGGCCUCUUAUAUUAUUAUUAUUAUUAUUAUUAUUAUUUAGCAUUUAUUUGUUUUAACUUGUUUAUGUGACUUGAAUAUGUUCUUAUUUUUUUAAUAGCUCACAUAGGAUAUGUAAUUGGGAUUGGGAACCUUUAUUUAGUUCUAGUUACUAAUGAUUUUUUUUUAACUUACAUGUAAUCUUAACUUUAUUGCUAAAAAAUUACUUUAAAAAGAAAACAAGGGAGCCACUACAUUCCGAGAGUGACUUGGAGUGAAAUUUUGGGAAAACAACUUAUUGAAGAUAAGCUUUUCAAAUCUCAAAAAUAUUCAGAAUUCAACUUCAAGUUAACUUUUAUGUGGCACCAAUGUAAUUUCGAGAGCCACUUGAAUUUUUAGCUGUCUUUUUAAUAUUUUAAGUUGUUAAAUAUUGUAAUUUCUAAUAUAUUUAGGUAAUUUUCAAAUAUAUUACUAACUAAGAAAGAAAAGUAAGACAAAUAAAUUAAAACGAACAAAGCACAGAAACUCCAUAAAUACCCUCAGCUUAUAGUAAACACGUCGACGAAGAGAUGCCUACUUCUAACUGCUUCCUUAAAUAACCAAAUUAUCCUUAUCAAAGAACCAGACAUAUUGACAAAGACCUGCUUCCUAAACUCUUCUAUAUAAUAGUAAAAUAAUUCAAUUUUUGCAUCUAUAUAAAAAUAUUCCAUUAACAAUCCAAAAUAUAGUCACGUAGUUUCUAAGCACAUUGAUCCCUCUCAUAAGUUUCCAAGUUGCCCUUCUUUAACGCACAAUUGACUUGUUAGAAUGGAAACUUUGUUCGUUAUUUGAAUAGUUACUAGCUACUUCCUUUAUAUUUAUUUUAUAUGUAUUAAUUUUUGAAAAUUUACGUAAAUUCUCCUAAUUUAGGAACUAAUUACUUAAAUAGACUCUAACUUGUAAUAUUACGAAUUUUAUUAGAUUUUGGUGCAUCCAGAUAUGUUCAAAUACAUGUGGUUAAAACUAGGUGUAAUUUGUUCUAGAUACAUUGUAUCCAGUAGAUUUGCAUGUUUUUCCUUGUCUUCAUUUGGUCAGUUGUUGAUCCAUCCAAAAUUCCAAACAAGUUUUUCCCUUGAAAAAAAAUCUGUGAAAUUCUCACAUUGGAUAAUUUUUCCAUCAAAUUUGGUAGACAAAAUGUCGUGAGAAUGUGACUCUAUUAGAAAGACAAGAGAUAACCGAUGAUAGAAAUCAAACAACAAUACAGAGCAAAAAGUAAAGCAGUUUCUGCAAAAAAAUUAGGUUCUUGAUACCAUGAUAUAUAACAAUUGAUAAAUCAGGAACCAAAAAGAGAUGAAAAAUAUUUUGUAUUUCUAUGCUUUACAAUUGAUAAACUAUCUAUUAUUUAUAUACAAAGAUCCAAUAUCAAAUCAUAUCUUGCACAAUAUCGAUGGCGUGAUCAAUUCUACAUAGUUAAACUUAAAGUAGAAUAUUGUCUAGGAUCUUUUAGAAUCAUUUCAGAUAUUUGAAAUCAUAUAUGAUAUGGUCAACAAUCCAUGACAUUAUUUGUGAACUAAAAAUAUUUCCGGGUUUGCAAAAUAGUUUUUACACGUGGUCAAUAAUAAUUCGGCCAUGUCAUUGAUUAAAUUAUUUUUAAAAGGGAAAAUGGUCAAAUAUGCCUUCGGACUUUGAGAAAAGGCUAAUCUAUGUCAUCCGUUAAAAGUUUGGCCCAUCUAUGCCAUUUCAGUUAACAAAUAUUGGCAUGAAUGAGCCUUUUCUAAAAAAAAUGACAUAAAUGAGCCAAACGUUUAAAGAAUAGAAUAAAGGGAAUGUUGUAUGAAAUAGAAAACUAUUAAUUCAAAGUAAAUGAUAUAUCCAUAGUUUAUUUUAAUUGUAUUCGCAACAAAUAUCCUUUUUUUUUUUGCAAUCUGAUUCAGUAUACAAUUAGCCAUUUUUACAUUUCGGUAUAAAAUGUAUAAAAUGCGUUUGUGUUUGUAUAAAUCGAGAUAAAUGUGUAUAUACAAAUACAAAUAUAUAUAUUUUCGUCCUAUACACUUAUAAUUAUACAAAUACAGAUCUUAUUAUACAAAUUAUAAUGUAUAAAUGAAUUUAUACAAAACUGAACAAUUUGUAUAAACUUGGAUGUUUGUAGCGAAUUAUACAAAUCAAAAGUUCCAUAGCAAACAUAAAAUUUGCUAUGGAGUGCAAUUAUGCAAACUAUAGUUAUAACAUACAAAUAUAAUUUUAAAGUUUGCUAUAUGUGAAAAGUUGCUCUAGAAUAAAUAAACAAACAUUUUCUCAAAGUUGAUGGUAUAUUUGAACCUUUUCCCAUUGCAUAUCUAUAUGUAUAAGUAAAUGUUAGUUAUUACAACUUUCAAAUAUAUUGAAUUUAUAAAAAUUCAUUAAUCAACAAAAAUAGUGAAUAACUUUUCUUUAAUGUAAUCUAUUCACAUAUCUCAUGAUAUAGACAAUUUCUUCAUAGACCAUAAUAUUAUUUUUUUCCAAACCUGAUGUUUUUCAAAAUAAUAAACAAUAGAAGAAUCUAUAGUGGCAUUGCUAACACUACUUUCAUAGUAUGCAAUUUUUCAGACUAGGAAAGAAAAGUAUGUUUGUCAGAAUGAUUAAAAAGAAAAAACUACUCACAUAAAUUGAAAUAAAAGAAAUUAUGAAGUAUCUAUCAAAAAAGUAUGCUUGACUUGAAGACUUGUUUAUUUUGAUGUUUUUUCUUUUCUUUUAAAUUAAAUAUAUUAAAUAUAAAAGGUAUCCUAUCAGUUAUUCCCAAAAAAAUUGCCUUUAUUCGCUGUAAAAGGGCAAAGAAAUGUUGAUUUUAAAAAAUGAAAAUGGAAAAAUUAAGAAUUACAAAAUAAGGGUUUAAAAGAGAGAAAAGAAAAGUAUAUAAUUAUGUAUAAUAGAAUAAUAUCUUCUUUCACGAAAAGAUUAUGAAAAUUGAAGUUAUAUUUGAAUAUGAAUAGAAAAUGUGACUGAUUUGGAGUGAAAAAUUGUGAAAACAAUUUAUUGAAGAUGGGCUUUUUGAAUCUCGAAAAUAUUCGGAAUUCAACUACAAGUUACCUUUUAUGUGGCACCGACAGAAUUUCAAGAGUCACCUGAAUUUUUAUCUACCUUUUAAUAUUUUAAAUUGUUAAUUGUUGUGAUUUAUACAAAUAUUUUUAGGUAAUUUUCAAAUAUAUAACUAACUAAAAAAGAAAAGUAAGACAAAUAAAUUAAAACGAAAAAAGCACAAAAACUCCACAAAUACCCUUAGCUAGAAGCAAAUACAUUGACAAAGGAAUGCCUACUUCUAGCCGCUUCUUAAAAUGACCAAAUUAUCCUUAUCGAAGAAGUAAACAUAUUGACGAAGAUCUACUUCCCACACUCUUCUAAAAAAAUAAUAAAAUAAUUCAAUUUUUGUAUCCAUAUGAAAAUAUUCCAUUAAUAAUCCAAGGUUCAAUCUUCCUACAAAGUUUCUAGGCACAUCGAUCCCUUUCAUAAGUUUUCCAAAUUGUCCUUCUUACACGCACAAUAAGAAUGGAAAUUAUGUUCAUUAUUUGACUAGUUAUUACUUCCUAUCUUUAUUUUAUAUAUAUUAAUUUUUGAAAAAAAAAAACUUACAUAAAUUUCACUAAUUUAGGAACUAAUUACUUAAAUACACUCUAGUCUAUAAUAUUACGAAUCCUAUCAGAUUUGGGGUACAUCCAGAUACGUUUAGAUACAUAUGGUCAAAAUUAGGUGUAUUUUGUUCUAGAUACACUAUAUCCAAAUGGAUUUGCAUGUAUCGAUAUGAGAUACAUAGACAAAUCUCACUUGCCUCUCUUCCAUCUCUCUCGUCACUCUACUAUAUAUCUGGUGUCCCAGAUUCAUGUGAAUCACAAAAGUUACAUACAUAUGCAUGUAUAGAUCUAGUGUGAUUCGCAUGUAUCUAGGAUAUUUGACUAUCUCACUCGUCUCUCUCUAUUUUAGUGUAUCUAGUAGCAAAAAUAUAUGUAUCUAGUUGUAUCUUCCUCAAUGUAUAGUAGGAAACUAUUAAUUAAUGGUAAGAUAGUAACAUCCGGCGAUUUGAAAUAACUAUGAAGAGGCCUAGAAUUGGAAAUUUGGCUAAGUAUGAAAAAAAUUUUUUGGCCAACUUUGUACAGUUAUAACUUCUAGCUCAAGAUGAUUUAGGAGUAGUUCCAGUUAUGGUUGCGAAGUUCAUAGAAUGAUCUUUCCAACGCCACCGAGUUUGCUCGAUUCCGAAUUCGUAUGAGUGAGUUAUGCCCUUUGGAAGUUGGGUAGUUGGCGGGGAAAUCCGUCCGGGAAUUUUAAGGGUAUUUUGAUCUUUUCCCAAAUCAUUUCCUUUGGUUAUAUUUUAGUGUUGGACUGAUUUUAGAUCAGUUUGUCCCAUUUUAAAAGAGUGAGAGCUAGGGCUUGAGAGUGAAGAGGAGUUCAUAGAAUGAUCUUUCCAACGCCACCGAGUUUGCUCGAUUCCGAGUUCGUAUGAGUGAGUUAUGCCCUUUGGAAGUUGGGCAGUUGGCAGGAAAUNNNNNNNNNNNNNNNNNNNNNNNNNNNNNNNNNNNNNNNNNNNNNNNNNNNNNNNNNNNNNNNNNNNNNNNNNNNNNNNNNNNNNNNNNNNNNNNNNNNNNNNNNNNNNNNNNNNNNNNNNNNNNNNNNNNNNNNNNNNNNNNNNNNNNNNNNNNNNNNNNNNNNNNNNNNNNNNNNNNNNNNNNNNNNNNNNNNNNNNNNNNNNNNNNNNNNNNNNNNNNNNNNNNNNNNNNNNNNNNNNNNNNNNNAAACGUCGAGUUUUCUGGGCAAGGGGUUGGCGCGUCGCGCUUGCCAGUGCGCCCCAAAAGGGGUUCUGAACUUUCCCCCUUAGGGCGGCGCGCCUAGCAGAGCGCCAGCAUGCCCCCUCUGAAUUUCAAGGGCUGGCGCUACGCGCCUUGCAGAGCGCCAAGUUUUCCCAUUCAUUCCCCACUUUCUUAUACAUGUUCCUAGGUAUUGUACCUAUGUUUCCUAGUUGUUUCCAAUACUCCAAAGUAUGUUUAAACGUCAAGAACUCAUCUAUAAGCAUGUGAUCAAACACCUUGAAUUCAUAAUCCAAUUCAAGGAGAGUUAGUUAGAAGUCAAGUGAAGUUAAGAGUUAAGCAUAAAAGUUAAGCAAGUCAAGCAAGUUUUAAAGUUGUUCAAGAGUCUUUAUUGAAUGUUUUAACUUCAUUUUUAGACUCAAGUUUCAAGUCAAGCAAAGAUCUUAGAGAUUCAAGCUAAGUAGAGAGUCUUAAGUUUCAAGUUAAGUCAAGAGUUUAAAGUUGAGUUCAUUUCUCAAAAGUUAUUAGGGAACUAUGUAUUCCCAAAGAAGUUUCUAAAUGUUUUUACAUUUGAGUAAGAAAGGGACUAUAAUUUCCAAAAGAGCCUUUGGGCUAGAUUUUGAGUAAUUAUCUCAACUAAAGAAAGAUGUGUUUAAAACACUUAUGAGNNNNNNNNNNNNNNNNNNNNNNNNNNNNNNNNNNNNNNNNNNNNNNNNNNNNNNNNNNNNNNNNNNNNNNNNNNNNNNNNNNNNNNNNNNNNNNNNNNNNNNNNNNNNNNNNNNNNNNNNNNNNNNNNNNNNNNNNNNNNNNNNNNNNNNNNNNNNNNNNNNNNNNNNNNNNNNNNNNNNNNNNNNNNNNNNNNNNNNNNNNNNNNNNNNNNNNNNNNNNNNNNNNNNNNNNNNNNNNNNNNNNNNNNNNNNNNNNNNNNNNNNNNNNNNNNNNNNNNNNNNNNNNNNNNNNNNNNNNNNNNNNNNNNNNNNNNNNNNNNNNNNNNNNNNNNNNNNNNNNNNNNNNNNNNNNNNNNNNNNNNNNNNNNNNNNNNNNNNNNNNNNNNNNNNNNNNNNNNNNNNNNNNNNNNNNNNNNNNNNNNNNNNNNNNNNNNNNNNNNNNNNNNNNNNNNNNNNNNNNNNNNNNNNNNNNNNNNNNNNNNNNNNNNNNNNNNNNNNNNNNNNNNNNNNNNNNNNNNNNNNNNNNNNNNNNNNNNNNNNNNNNNNNNNNNNNNNNNNNNNNNNNNNNNNNNNNNNNNNNNNNNNNNNNNNNNNNNNNNNNNNNNNNNNNNNNNNNNNNNNNNNNNNNNNNNNNNNNNNNNNNNNNNNNNNNNNNNNNNNNNNNNNNNNNNNNNNNNNNNNNNNNNNNNNNNNNNUGAGUACUCUAGAGUCAGUGGUGAGCCUCUUUGCAUUCCGGAGGACUCUGUUAUUUUUGUGUUACUAGUUUUAUUUUGUUAGGAUGUUGCGGGGUCUGUCCCAACGUCCAUCUCAGUAUUGUAGAGGCUUCAUAGACAGCCAGUCAGUUAGUAUUGAGUCCCUCAUCUAUGUAUAUAUGUAAAUAUUCUAUUUUGAGACUCGAGUUACCCUUUUGGGCCAGAUUUUAUCAGUUAAGUUGUUUUAUGUCUUUGUAUGGCAUUGAGUUAUUCUGUUGAGUCAGGUUUCCGCUGAGUUAAGAAAGCCAGGCCAAGGGUUCGCUUGGGGCCAGCAAUGGUCUUCGGGUGCCGGUCCCGCCCAGGGUGUAGGCUCGGGGCAUGACAAACUUGGUAUCAGAGCACAGCGUUCAAGAGUCCUAGGGAGUCUAUGAAGCCGUGUCUGUAGAGUCCUAAUUAUCGAUGAGAAACGCGCCACAUCUAUAAUUGGGAGGUUGCAACAUUUAGGAAGAUUUCUCACUUCUUUCACACUCAUCUCGUGCGUUAGAGUUGAUCUCUAAAAAGUUUCGUUCUAAUCCGUGCUUGCGUGUGUUUCAGAUAGUCAUGCCUCCACGAAGAGUUAGUAGAGGGCGUCUUCCUAGACGUUAUGUGGAUGAGCAAGAGUUACCUUAUACCCCGGGAGUGCAAGAUCAAGGGAAAUUUCUAAUGUCGAGUUCAGAGAGGCAAUUAGAAUUCUGAGUCAAGCCGUAACUAAUCAGAUUGAUCAACAAAGUGGAGCUCGACAUGAAUGAGCUAACACUUCACGGAUUCGUGAGUUCUUGGGGAUGAAUCCUCCGAGUUUCAUGGGUUCAAGCACUACUGAGGAUCCAGAGAACUUCAUUGAGGAGUUGAAGAAGAUUUUUGAUGUGAUACAUGUAGCAGAUAUCAAGCGGGUUGAACUAGCUGCGUAUCAGCUGAAAGAUGUUGCUAGAACUUGGUUCGACCAAUGAAAAGGGGGUAGAGUUGAGAAUGCACCACUUGCGGUUGGGCUUGUUUUGAGGAAACUUUCUUGGGGCAUUUCUUUCCUCGAGAAUUGAUAGAGGCCAAGGUACGUGAGUUCCUCACACUUCAGCAGGAGUCUUUGAGUGUUCACGAGUACAGUUUGAAGUUCACACAACUAUUCCGCUAUGCUCCAGAGAUGGUUGCGGAUAUGAGGAAUAGAAUGAGUUUGUUUGUUGCUGGGCUGUCUCGGUUGUCAAGUAAGAAAGGUAAGGCUGCAAUGCUUAUUGGGGACAUGGACAUAUCUAGAUUGAUGGUCUAUGUGCAAUAGGUUGAGGAAGAGAAGCUGUGGGACAGAGAAGAGUUCAGAAAUAAGAGAGCUAAGACCGGUAAUGAGUCCGGGCAACAGAAAGGUAAUGCGAACCGUUCAUCCUUUCAGCAAAGGUAAAGGGGACCUGCUCCAUCAUCUGUUAGUGCACCUGCACCCAGAAAUAAAAGUGAGUACGCGGGACAGAGUUCGUAGAACUUCAGAGCUGGACCUGCACAGUCUCAGAAUAGUAGAGCACAAGGAAGUAACCGGGGUCUUGCAUGUGCUAGGUAUGGUAGAGUCCAUCCAGGGAAGUGUCGUCAAGGCCAGACAUGUUGCUUUAAAUGUGGGCAAGAGGGUCACUUUAUGAAGGAGUGCCCAAGGAACAAUCAAGGUAGUGGAAAUCUGGGCAGUAAGGCCCAAUCUUCAUAAGUUGCUCCCCCAGACAGGACGGCACCUAGAGAAGCUACUUCUAGUACAGGUGGAGGAGCAAAUCGCCUCUGUGCCAUCACCAGUCGCCAUGAGCAAGAGAACUUCCAAAUGUUGUCACUGGUAUGAUCAAAGUUUUCGCUUUUGAUGUGUAUGCUUUGUUAGAUCCAGGAGCAAGUUUAUCUUUUGUAACUCCUUAUGUUGCAAAUAAGUUUGAGGUUCUUCCUGAAAGACUUUGUGAACCCUUUUGUGUUUCUACACCUGUUGGGGAGUCUAUUCUAGUAGAAAGAGUUUAUCGUGAUUGUCCUGUUUCCAUCAAUCACAAGAGCACCAUGGCUGAUUUGUUUGAGUUAGACAUGGUAGAUUUUGAUGUCAUUCUAGGUAUGGAUUGGCUUCAUGCCUGUUAUGCAUCAUUAGACUGUAGAACUCGGGUGGUCAAGUUUCAGUUUCCGAAUGAGCCAGUCUUAGAGUGGAGUAGUAGUUCAGCAGUGCCUAAGGGUCAUUUUAUUUCGUACCUUAAGGCGAGAAAGUUAGUUUCAAAGGGUUGUAUCUAUCACUUAGUUAGAGUUCAUGACUCUGGUGUUAAAAUACCUCAUUUUCAGUCAGUUCCUAUAGUAAGAGAGUUUCCAGAAGUUUUUCCUGAUGAUCUACCCGGAAUUCCUCCUGAGAGAGAAAUAGAUUUCGGCAUAGAUCUCCUUCCAGAUACUCGUCUUAUCUCUAUUCCGCCUUAUAGAAUGGCACCAACAGAGUUGAAAGAGCAGUUGAAAGAUCUUCUAGANNNNNNNNNNNNNNNNNNNNNNNNNNNNNNNNNNNNNNNNNNNNNNNNNNNNNNNNNNNNNNNNNNNNNNNNNNNNNNNNNNNNNNNNNNNNNNNNNNNNNNNNNNNNNNNNNNNNNNNNNNNNNNNNNNNNNNNNNNNNNNNNNNNNNNNNNNNNNNNNNNNNNNNNNNNNNNNNNNNNNNNNNNNNNNNNNNNNNNNNNNNNNNNNNNNNNNNNNNNNNNNNNNNNNNNNNNNNNNNNNNNNNNNNNNNNNNNNNNNNNNNNNNNNNNNNNNNNNNNNNNNNNNNNNNNNNNNNNNNCACAUUGUAUCUGGUGAUGGAAUUAAAGUUGAUACUCGGAAAAUUGAGGCAGUGCAGAAUUGGCCUAGACCCACAUCUCCAACUGAAAUUAGGAGUUUCUUGGGAUUAGCUGGCUAUUAUAAAAGGUUUUUUGAGAGGUUAUCAUCUAUUGCAUCUCCUUUGACAAAGUUGACUCAGAAGACAGUGAAAUUUCAAUGGUUUGAAGCUUGUGAGAAAAGCUUUCAGGAAUUGAAAAAGAGGUCGAUUACUACUCCAGUGUUGACUUUACCAGAAGGUACUCAAGGUUUUGUGGUGUAUUGUGAUGCAUCUAGAGUUGGUUUGGGUUGUGUCUUAAUGCAGAAUGGCAAAGUUAUAGCUUAUGCCUCCAGACAGUUGAAAGUUCAUGAGAGGAACUACCCGACCCAUGACUUAGAGUUGGUUGCUGUAGUAUUCGCCUUGAAGAUAUGGCGUCAUUACUUGUAUGGUGUUCAUGUUGAUAUAUUUACUGAUCACAAGAGUCUUCAAUAUGUGUUCACUCAGAAAGAGCUUAAUCUCAGACAGAGGAGGUGGUUAGAAUUACUCAAGAAUUAUGACCUGAGUAUUCUUUACCACCCAGGUAAGGCUAAUGUUGUUGCUGAUGCUUUAAGCAGGUUGUCUAUGGGUAGCACCACCCAUAUUGAAGAAGGGAAGAGAGAGUUAGCAAAAGAUGUGCACAGACUGGCACGCCUGGGAGUGAGACUUAUGGAUUCUAUAGAAGAAGAUAUAACAGUAACGAACGGGGCCAAGUCAUCAUUCAUGUCAGAAGUGAAAGAGAAACAAGACUAAGAUCCCAUUUUACUUGAGUUAAAGGCAAAUGUUCAAAAGCAUAGAGUAUUAGCUUUUGAACAAGGAGGAGUUGGUGUUUUGAGGUAUCAAAGUAGAUUGUGUGUACCUAUGGUAGAUGGACUCUAAGAGAAGAUUAUGGAGGAAGCUCAUAGCUCCAGAUAUUCCAUUCAUCCGGGUUCCACAAAGAUGUAUCGUGACUUGAGAGAAGUUUAUUGGUGGAAUGGCAUGAAGAAGGACAUUGCAAAGUUUGUGGCUAAGUGUCCAAAUUGCCAGCAAAUGAAAGUUGAGCACCAAAGGCCCGGUGGUUUGGCUCAGAGGAUAGAACUUCCGAAAUGGAAGUGGGAGAUAAUCAAUAUGGAUUUCAUCACAGGGUUGUCAAGGUCUCACAGACAGAAUGAUUCUAUUUGGGUGAUUGUCAAACCGAAUGACAAAGUCAGCUCAUUUUCUACCGGUAAAGACUACCCAUUCGGCAGAAGAUUAUGCCAAGUUGUAUAUUCAAGAGAUAGUGAGACUUCAUGGAGUCCCAAUCUCCAUUAUUUCAGAUAGAGGUGCACAGUUUACUGCACAGUUCUGGAAAUCUUUUCAGAAAGACUUAGGUUCAAAGGUGAACUUAAGUACUGCAUUUCAUCCUCAGACUGAUGGGCAAGCAGAGCGCACUAUUCAGACCUUAGAGGAUANNNNNNNNNNNNNNNNNNNNNNNNNNNNNNNNNNNNNNNNNNNNNNNNNNNNNNNNNNNNNNNNNNNNNNNNNNNNNNNNNNNNNNNNNNNNNNNNNNNNNNNNNNNNNNNNNNNNNNNNNNNNNNNNNNNNNNNNNNNNNNNNNNNNNNNNNNNNNNNNNNNNNNNNNNNNNNNNNNNNNNNNNNNNNNNNNNNNNNNNNNNNNNNNNNNNNNNNNNNNNNNNNNNNNNNNNNNNNNNNNNNNNNNNNNNNNNNNNNNNNNNNNNNNNNNNNNNNNNNNNNNNNNNNNNNNNNNNNNNNNNNNNNNNNNNNNNNNNNNNNNNNNNNNNNNNNNNNNNNNNNNNNNNNNNNNNNNNNNNNNNNNNNNNNNNNNNNNNNNNNNNNNNNNNNNNNNNNNNNNNNNNNNNNNNNNNNNNNNNNNNNNNNNNNNNNNNNNNNNNNNNNNNNNNNNNNNNNNNNNNNNNNNNNNNNNNNNNNNNNNNNNNNNNNNNNNNNNNNNNNNNNNNNNNNNNNNNNNNNNNNNNNNNNNNNNNNNNNNNNNNNNNNNNNNNNNNNNNNNNNNNNNNNNNNNNNNNNNNNNNNNNNNNNNNNNNNNNNCUACUUGGGAAGCUGAGGAGGAUAUGAAGAAGAGAUAUCCACAUCUCUUCGAAUCCGGAGGAAAUGCCGAUGAAGGUACUAAUUUCCUUCUUAGUGCUCUUUGAAUUAUAGUGAGCAUGUUAUGUUAUUGUUGUUGUUGCAUGAUUGUUUGUUGGGUGUUCGGGUGAUGUUACACCCUUAGCCUCUUAAGAGUAACCUCAUUCGAGGAUGAAUGUUCCCAAGGGGGAGAUACUGUAACAUCCGGCGAUUUGAAAUAACUAUGAAGAGGCCUAGAAUUGGAAAUUUUUCAUUUUUGGAAAUAAUUUUAAAAAUAUGGAAAUUUGGCCAAGUAUGAAAAUAAAAAAGGGUGAAUUUUUGGCCAACUUUGAACAGUCAUAACUUCUAGCUCAGGAUGAUUUAGGAGUAGUUCCAGUUAUGGUUCCGAAGUUCAUAGAAUAAUCUUUCCAACGCCACCGAGUUUCCUUGAUUCCGAAUUCGUAUGAGUGAGUUAUGCCAUUUGGAAGUUGGGCAGUUGGCGGGGAAAUCCGUCCGGGAAUUUUAAGGGCAUUUUGGUCAUUUCCCAAAUCAUUUCCUUUGGUAAUAUUUUAGUGUUGGACUGAUUUUAGAUAAGUUUGUCCCUUUUUAAAAGAGUAAGAGUUAGGAUUUUGAGUGAAGAAGAGAAGAAGAGGAGAAAGAGGAGAUCAAGCAAGUUUCCGUCAUGGAUAUCGUCGGGGGUGAUCCCUACUAGGUAUGUGAGUCCAUAGGGUUGGGUUGGUUCUUUCCCCACCUCCAAACUUGUUUAUUGUCAAAGAAGGAUUAGUUGUGUUGUUGAAGUUGUUGGUUGUGUUGUUGAUCUUGUUGAUUGCGUUGUUGAAGUUCUUGUUGAUUUGGGGCAUGAUUUGGUUGUGUUUUAGAAUUGAAUCUAUGGUAUGUUGAGGGAUUUUUGGAUCCUUAGUGUUUGGGGUUGAAACCCUUGAAGUAAGGGUGGUUUAGAGUUGGCAAAACAAGAGAGAAAAGUCAAGUUUUCUGGGCAAGGGGUUGGCGCGUCGCACCUGCCAACGCGCCCCAAAAGGGGUUCUGAACUUUCCCCCUUAGGGCGGCGUGCCUAGUAGAGCGCCAGCAUGCCCCCUCUGAAUUUCAAGGGCUGGCGCUACGCGCCUUGCAGAGCGCCAAGUUUUCCCAUUCAUUCCCCACUUUCUUAUGCAUGUUCCUAGGUAUUGUACUUAUGUUUCCUAGUUGUUUCCAACACUCCAAAGUACAUUUAAACGUCAAGAACUCAUCUAUAAGCAUGUGAUCAAAUACCUUGAAUUCAUAAUCCAAUUCAAGGAGAGUUAGUUAGAAGUCAAGAGUUAAGCAUAAAAGUUAAGCAAGUCAAGCAAGUUUUAAAGUUGUUCAAGAGUCUUUAUUGAAUGUUUUAACUUCAUUUUUAGACUCAAGUUUCAAGUCAAGCAAAGAUCGAAGAGAUUCAAGCUAAGUAGAGAGUCUUAAGUUUCAAGUUAAGUCAAGAGUUUAAAGUUGAGUUCAUUUCUCAAAAGUUAUUAGGGAACUAUGUAUUCCCAAAGAAGUUUCUAAAUGUUUUUACAUUUGAGUAAGAAAGGGACUAUGAUUUCCAAAAGAACCUUUGGGCUAGAUUUUGAGUAAUUAUCUCAACUAAAGAAAGAAUGUGUUUAAAACAAUUAUGAGCUAAAGUAUUUUGGGAGUAGUAUCGAGCACCGAAUUGGGGACGUGAGUUCAUAUUAACUCAACUCUCCAUAAGAACCAUGUAGCCAACAUGGGAGUUAACGGGUCAUACUUUUUAGAUGCAUCCAUAAAGUUAAGCUAGUGGAUCCACUUAGUAAAGUUAGCUUCCUAUAUCACGGCAAGGUAUAGGAUGGUCCUCGGGCAACGUGAGGUAAAACGUUGUAUCACCACUUAGUUUCAUAGUGGUGGUUUGUCGGUUAGAGAAACUCUCACAGUAGAAAGAGUUUGGUUCCUCGAGGAGUUCUGCUGAGUGUGGAUGGGGGUAUGGGACUUCAUUCAUGCAUUGCACAAGUAGACUAUGAGAGGAAGCAUGGUAUUUUCAUGAUAUUAUAAAUAUGAUUUUUACGUCAUGUUUUCAGAGUUUUGCAAGCUUUAUAUAUUGCAUGUGUCUUAUUGCUUUAUAUAUUGAGUUCUAUUGUUCAUGAGUUGAACAGAGCCAAGGUAAGUGUUCUCUUGUACUCCUUUCAAGCUUAAGUUGUGGUUUAGCUUUCCAGCUCGCAUACUCAUACAUUCAAUGUAUUGAUGCCAGUUAGCUUGCAUCUUAUGACGAUGCAGACACAGGUACCCAGGGUCAGCAUCCUGCACACCGUUGAUCCAGUUGAGCACUCCAGUUAAGAAAGUCAGGCCAAGGGUUCGCUUGGGGCCAACAAUGGUCUCCGGGUGCCGGUCCCACCCAUGGUGUUGGCUCGGGGCGUGACAAAGAUUCAUAAUUAUUUGAAAGAAUAGGUAGAAUUAGUACAUAUUAUAACUGGAUGUGUAUCUAGUAGGAUAGUUUUUUCACUAAACAUAAACGUAAGGCAGAAAGAAAGUUGACCCGCAUCCACAAAAAAAAUCUUAUUAAAAAAGAAAGCAAUUCAUCCCGCCUCGCACUUGCAUAAUUCAAAUAUCGCCCCGCACAGUUCCAAAAUCGCUCCGCCCCCGUAAAGAUUUAGACUCAGUUGUCUCAUUGUUAUCUAUAUCUAGGAGGGCAUUGUUUUGUGGCCCUAGCCCUAUCUUUAAAUAUUGGUUUUUGAAAUUUAUCUAAUUACAUCCUUGUAAAGAAGGAUUCUCUAAAAAGAUAAAGAUUAAUUUUAACUCAAUAGUUUUUGUUUCUUAUUUAUUUUAUUAAAUAAUAUAAUUAAUUUUAUACUAAUUAUUAUCUCUAGUUAUUCAAUUAUAUCAAUCGAUUGAUUAGUUUUAAUCUACUUAGUUUUAUUCUACGGUAGUUAAUGAAGGUUUUAGCAAUAUCUCCAAAGUUCUUGAAUUUGCUUCUUAAAAUUGUUUGUCUAUCUUUAUUUUUUGUACAUACGUUUUUACGUCUUAAAUUUCAUAAAACUAACUCUAUUCUUAUCAAGUGAUAUCACUAAACUAACCUAUGUGUUAUCACUGAUCAUGAAACUAACUCAAUUCUUAUCAAGGUACAGUCUUGACGAAGACCUGCUUCCUAAACUCUUCUAUAUAAUAGUAAGAUAAUUCAAUUUUUGUAUAUAUAUGACAAUAUUCCAUUAAUAAGGUACGGUAGUUUCUAGGCACAUUGAUCCCUUUCAUAAGUUUUCAAGUUGCCCUUCUUUCACGCACAAUUGACUUGUUAGAAUGGAAAUUUUGUUCGUAAUUUGACUAGUUAUUUCUUCCUAUAUUUUUAUUUUAUAUGUAUUAAUUUUUGAAAAAUGCACAAAUUUCACUAAUGUAGGAAUUAAUUACUUAGAUACAUUCUAAUUUGUAAUAUUAUGAAUUCAAUUAGAUUUUGAUGCAUCCAGAUAUGUUUAGAUAUGUUCAAAUACAUAUUUUUCAAGAAACAUGCGAUCAAAAUUAAGUGUAAUUUAUUCUAGAUACAUCGUAUCCAAGUGAAUUUGCAUGUAUCGAUCUAGGAUACAUAAACAAAUCUCCCCCACCUCCCUUCCAUCUCGCUCGCCACUUUCCUAUGUAUUGGGUACCCCAGAUUCAUGUGAAUCACACCAGUUACAUAUAGAUGUAUGUAUCUAGUGUGUACCUAGUUAGUAUGGUUCACAUCUAUAUGAGAUACAUGACUAUCUCGCUCGCCCCCUCCCCAUUUCACUCGCAUCUCUCCCUAUUUUAAUGUAUUUGGUAGAAAAAAUACAUGUAUCUAGAUUCUAGGUAUAUCCUCCUCAAUGAAUGGUAGAAAAUUCUUAAUUAAUGGUAAAAUACGUAAUUAUUUGAAAGAACAAAUAAAAUUAGUAUAUAUGGUCUGAAUGUAUGUCUAACAAGGCAAUUUUUUCAUUAAACAUAAACAUAAGAUAAAAAGAAAAUUGACCCGCAUCUAGAAAAAAAAUCUCAUUAAAAAAAGCUACACAUCUAUAACGACCCGAACCGUCAUUAUUUAGGAAGGGCGAAAAAAACCACGAAAAAGUUAGGGUCACUGACCCUCUAGAGCGGGCCAGAUGUCACUGGGCCGGCGGCGCCACAGCGGGGUAAGUUGCCGUCAGAGCGGGAGAGGCGAGAUAGAAUGUAAAUUACGAGAAAUCUUAUUUACUCCAUCUUUCUAAAAUACCUAAAUAAGUCGUAAAACACCCUAGAAACCUCAGAAAAACUGCUCUAAGCUUGGGAAGGAAGGAGAAGGGGAAUUCUAGCGUGAGGAUGGUGAAAUCUUGAGGAUUAUUGGACAAAUUCGCCGUCACGGACCCGAAAAAUUCAAAUUAAAGUCAAAACUCCGUACAACUGCUUGGCGCCCAGGUAGGCUAGGUUUUUACAAUUGAGUAGCUAUAAAUCUGUGCUUACUACGUGAUAUAUGUAAAUCAAUGGUAGGGCUGUGUGUAGACCUUUCGUGCACCGGGUAAAUUGCAUGAAUAAUCCUUAGAGUUCAAAGUAUGUGGGUUUAUACCUUGUGAGGAGGAAUUGAUGAGUUGUUAGAAAAACCUAGAAUUGCUAUCAUGGAUAGAAUUGGGUCAAGAAUGAGGGCAUGAAAUCAAGAGUGGAACUAGAUUUAUGAAUGUAUGCUACAUCCGAUAAUUGAGGUGAUGCGAUUGAGUAAUUAAGAUGAAUUGUGAUUAAACCCUAAUAAGAAAUCCUAAUGAUGAACUAGGGCUGAGUAUGGGUAAUUUCUAUACAUGUGAUGAGGACUGAGGAGUAAUUCGUAGGUGGUGGUUGUGAUUCUAUGAUUGUGUGAUGUAUGCUUGUUUUUGUUUCAUUAUGAUAUGUGUAUAUGUAUGAAUGUUGCAAUGUUGAUCACACUUGUUGUAAAUGAGAUAGAUAAUUGAUGAAUGUCAUGAAAUCAUGAAUUAAUUGUAUGAUCUUGAUGAUGUACUUGUGAUUGUGAUUGUGGUGUGUGAAUGUGAUCGAUUGUCACGUUCUGGCGUAACUAACUUGGAUCGGUUGUUACGUUUCGACAUAACUAACUUGGAUCGGAUUGCCACUUUUUGACAUAAUUAUGGGAUCGAUUGCCACGUUCCUGCAUGCUAACUGUUUGAUCUUGGGUUCCGUGAGAGGACCAAUGAUGUGUUAUAUAAAAUGUGAAGUUGUUCGCUAUUCGUGUACUUGUUGACAAUAUUGUAUAUGUUUGUUAUACGUUUGUAAAUAAAGUAUUGUAUUGGUCUGUUUAUGUUGUACUUAGUGGACUCGUGCUAUGGCGAUUUAUAAUUGGUUGUUCGUGGGUUGUAAUGGCGAGAGUAGAGAUAGCGUAUGUGAACGAAAUUGUUGGAUGGAUUUCACCUUGGGGGAAAGGAGAUUGGGUUAGUGUUAAGAAAGCUGGAAUCAUUGUAUUAUGUGGCAAUGGUUGAUAACGUGGUGAGGAAGUAAGGUAGGAUAUGUACGGUUAGUUGAUUUGGUGGUGUUGUACUUGGGGAAUUUCUUACGUUUUUAGAAUGGUUAAGCUAUGAUCAAGAAUCCGGUAAGUGGGUUGAUUAAAAAGGGGGUUAGUAGUUAGAAUGCUAGGGUGAGCAUUUCGACCUCCAGGGCAGUGAUGGCUGGGACCGGAGUGAAUUCAGUGUAGGCACUCCCCAUCCUCUCUCAGACAACCGCUAAAUCUUUCUCAACCCGUACACCUGAGAGUGGGUCCUCGUCAUCUGAACCCAUGGCCGCCUUAUAGCUGCUUGCCCUACCGAUCAUCCUCAUCUUGCUCCUAAAAGUAGAACAUGUCCGAAUCAAAAAAGGGUGAAGGAGGGGAUCCAUAGGAAGUACCUCGUCAGCAUCAAAUAAGGGUACUCCCGCCCGUUUACAUAGGGCAGUGAUGAGUCCUGGAAGGAAGAAGGCUUUUUUGUUGCCCCGAUAAAACAUCUUCCAUUUGGAGAUAAUCUGUGCUCCCACGUUCAGCUGAAUACCCUGUAUAGCACAUGCCACCACCAGGGCCGGGGAAAGGUCACGUCGGUACGGCUGCCCAACGGGUGGAUCCUCCUAGACACCAAGUGUAGCCACAUUUUAGCAUCAGGUGACCAGUCCGUACUAGUGAUGCCCUCCGCAGUAGCCCAGUAAACCUGAUCCCGGCGCGUAAACUCGACAAGAGUGUCUCUCAGCCACUACAGAUCCAUCUCCCUUAGUCGGUCCUUGAAAGCAUGGUUCGGGACCUCGUUACCUCUAGGGACUCAUUAAUAGCUGUGGCAUUCAGGGGGAUGUCGACUCCUUGAAUGCAGAUGGCAGGAUUAGGGUCGUCCCAGAGGACGGUGGACAUGAUAGCGUAGAACUCCCGCACCCAGUUAGCUCGUGCAUCUGGGGGACCCUCAGUCAGCGGAAUCUACCGGAACUCUACCAACCGUGCAUAAAAGGUAGGUACCUUCUCCUCUAGUUUGUUUAGCACAAAACUCCCCUCACAACAGAACCCCGUGUUGCGAUAAUCAUGAUGUCUUUCCCGACUCGCGACAUCAGGGAACCGGAUGAAGAGCAAGUGUUCGUUGUUUUGUCCUACCAUUUAGAAGUCUAUAAUAAGUGGAAUAUAAGUUAGAAUGCGAUAGGACCAUCAUCGUAGGACAAAAAUUUGAAAAAAGAGAAAGAAAUUUAUGUUAAGGGUAAGGCUACUGGUCUGGCACAUCCCGCCAUAGCGGCCAAAAUCCCACUAGAGCGGGAUGAUAAAGGCCGCCACAAAAGCCUUCAUAUGGGAUGAACACAAGGUGCGACAAUGGCGUUUUUACGUCCUAAAAUCUCUGUUUUCGACAGAAUUUCAGCAGAUCAGAGUAUAUUAACUAUCCUAGAACAUGAAUAAGCAUUUAUUUCAACAAAAUAACCCCUAAACAGAGCCCAAUUUCGAGUUUAUGUCAAGAAAACUUUUCAACUUCCCCCACACAUUUUUGUAUCGAUUUACCCGUGUUUUUACGAAAUCCUUACGCCCAGAAAGUUGUGUAAAUGUUGGGGACGUAAGGGGAAUAACCAUGCUACAUUUUUUAAAACACAUUUAGCAAACUAGUUAAAAAUUCAAAAUAACUACCCAAAAAUUGUCUAUUGUGAUCAUUUAAUCGUUAGGCAAUGAUUGUUAAUCGAGUAAUGAAGUAAGGAGUGAAAGGAAAAUGAGAUUUUUACCUUAAAUUGACGAUUCUGAGCGUUUGAGUUGAGAGGAUUUGGGAGAGGUUGUAAGGAGUAAAGGGAGAAAUGAGGAAACCAUUCCUCAUUCCCCCCUAUAUUGUUCCCCGAUCCUCCGCUCUAGCGGGAGACCUCCCACCACAGCGGGAGAGCUGCCGCCCUUAAAAUUUAGUGUUAUAUUUAGUCCUGUUUUCUUAAAAUUUCCGCAUGUUUUUACUAUUGGGAUAUAAGGGUUCUCCUACUUAAGUAUUAGAGUGGGUGCCCGCAUGACCCGGUGGGUUGGAUCGUGACAACAUCCCAUCAUGCCUUACACUUGCAUAGUUUUAAAAUUGCUCCGCCCCGCAAAGAUUUAGACUCACCCAAACCAUUGUCAUCCCUAUAUAGGAGGGCAUUGUUUUGUGGCCCUAGCACUAUAUAUAGGGGUUCCUUUUUAUUAUUUUAAGGGCAUUAUUAUUAUUAGAAUUUGACUUUUUUUUUUCUUUUUAUGUUUGUAGUUGAUAUUUAUCUUACAUCCUUGUAAGUUGUAAAGGAUGAUUCUUCAAAAAUAUAAGAUUAUUUUUUGUUAAAGUUAUCGACGACCUCUUAAAGUUGUGUAUAAUUCAUUUAGACACCUCAACAUACUUUUUUUUCUAUUAGACACUCCAAUCUUCAAAAAUAAAUAUUUAUCAAAUAUUUUUCUAACACCUAAUCAAAACAGAAAGUGUGUUUAAUACACAUACAUAUGAAUUAUGAUGUGAAAAAAUACCAAUAAAAUAAUGACACGUGACAUUUCAAUUAAAAAUAAUUAUAAAAUAAUUUUAAAUGUAAACACAUUUAAAUCUAAAUUUAAAAUAAAAAAUCAACUUAAAAAAGAAAAUGAAAUUAUACAUCCACCCACCCCCACCCCCUGNNNNNNNNNNNNNNNNNNNNNNNNNNNNNNNNNNNNNNNNNNNNNNNNNNNNNNNNNNNNNNNNNNNNNNNNNNNNNNNNNNNNNNNNNNNNNNNNNNNNNNNNNNNNNNNNNNNNNNNNNNNNNNNNNNNNNNNNNNNNNNNNNNNNNNNNNNNNNNNNNNNNNNNNNNNNNNNNNNNNNNNNNNNNNNNNNNNNNNNNNNNNNNNNNNNNNNNNNNNNNNNNNNNNNNNNNNNNNNNNNNNNNNNNNNNNNNNNNNNNNNNNNNNNNNNNNNNNNNNNNNNNNNNNNNNNNNNNNNNNNNNNNNNNNNNNNNNNNNNNNNNNNNNNNNNNNNNNNNNNNNNNNNNNNNNNNNNNNNNNNNNNNNNNNNNNNNNNNNNNNNNNNNNNNNNNNNNNNNNNNNNNNNNNNNNNNNNNNNNNNNNNNNNNNNNNNNNNNNNNNNNNNNNNNNNNNNNNNNNNNNNNNNNNNNNNNNNNNNNNNNNNNNNNNNNNNNNNNNNNNNNNNNNNNNNNNNNNNNNNNNNNNNNNNNNNNNNNNNNNNNNNNNNNNNNNNNNNNNNNNNNNNNNNNNNNNNNNNNNNNNNNNNNNNNNNNNNNNNNNNNNNNNNNNNNNNNNNNNNNNNNNNNNNNNNNNNNNNNNNNNNNNNNNNNNNNNNNNNNNNNNNNNNNNNNNNNNNNNNNNNNNNNNNNNNNNNNNNNNNNNNNNNNNNNNNNNNNNNNNNNNNNNNNNNNNNNNNNNNNNNNNNNNNNNNNNNNNNNNNNNNNNGCAGCCCACCCCACCCCCACCUCACCUCUUCCUUUCUUCUCUUUCCCUAACAGUUGCCCACCAUUAGUAACUCCCAAUAUAGAAAAAAAAUGGAGUUUAAAUAUAUACUUUUUCAUUCCCAUUUGAAUUGAUAGUGUUUUCUUGAAAGAUAUGUUCUUCCUUUGUUUAUUGUGAUUUCAAAAAAAAUAUUCUGUAUUUAUUCGAUUUCUUGGGAAGAAGGGAUGUAAGUUGCGGGAGAUGAAGAGAGAGAAAAUAUUUGAAUAAUAGGCUUCAUUUUUUCGGCAAAGAAAAUGUGGAUGGUGGUCUCAAUUUUUUUCGACAAAAAAAGAUAUAAAUGAAUAGAUGAUGAUCUCCAUUUCCCAAUAAAAAACUGUAAUGAUGAUCUCCAUUUUUUUCAGGCAAAAAAAUAGGAUUAAUUCUACAUCUGAAAAUUUAGUAGUACAUGAUAAGAAGAUUAAAAAAAAAAAAAACGAAGUAAAUUUGUAAGAAAAAAUGGUAAUAAAUUAUUACGAAAGAAAUGGUGGCAACAAAUAAAGAGAAAGAGAUUAUUUUUUUUUUUUAAAUAAUGAAAAAAAUUAAAAAAGAAAAGGGAAAACAUAAAUAUAUUAAUUUCACGCGCCUGACAAGGAGUGCAUUACAUUUUUUGUGCCACAUCUGCAUAAAGUGUCUAAGUGGUUUAAAUUCGAAAGGUCACAGAUGACUAUGCGGACAAUUUUAAGAGGUCACAGUCCUUGUUCAGGUGUGCAAGUGAAUUAUGCGGACAAUUUUAAGAGGUCACAGAUGACUAUAGCCAUUAAUUUUUAACUCAAUUUUUUUUGUUUCUUAUUUAUUUAAUCGAAGAAUAUAAUUAAUUUUAUAUUAAUUAUUAUCUCUAAUUAUUCAAUUAUCAAUCUACUGAUUAGUUUUAAUCUACUAUUUUUUAUCUAUGGUAGUCAACGAAGGUUUUAGAGUUUUAAUCUACUAAUUUUUAUCUAUGGUAGUCAAUGAAGGUUUUAGAAAUAUCUCCAAAGUUCCUGAAUUUGCUUUUUAAAAUUGUGCGUCUAUAUAUCUUUAUAUUUUACACAUACGUUUUUGCAUCUUAAAUUUCAUGAAACUAACUCGAUUCUUAUCAAGUGAUAUUACAAAACUAACCUAUCAUCGGUAUCUAAUACUACUAUUAGAAGCGUUUUGCUUUUUGAUAGAACUACAAGAACACUCGAAAUAAAAAAUCAAUACAAAUACUUUGAAGUAAAAGAGAUAUUAAAUGCAUUUAAAUUGUAAAUAUAUGUUUUGAAAUCUAUUUUUAAUUUUUUUUUUUUGAGAUACAAAGCUAUUAAUAAUUUAUUAUAACUGAUUUUAAAAAAAAUAUAUAUAUAUUUUUCAAUCAAUAAUACAACUAAUUAAUAGAAUCUCUCUUGAAACAAGUAGAUCUUACUUGCAACCAUUAUUUUUUUUUGCAUAGACAACUAUUAUAGAACAAUUAAUAUUAUUCUAGAAAUAAUAAAUAAUACAUAAAAUUAUCCUCAAACUUGACAAUCAAAUGUACGUACUUUAACACUUUAACUUUACGAAUAUUUCAAUAUUCUAUUCUAAUUUGAAGUGAACUAGAUGGAAGAAACAACAUGUUAGAACAUCUUGCAUUAAGAAGCAUUUAUUUAAGGAGUUAAAAGACAUAGACGUCGACAUCUUUGAAUACAAAAUCAAACAACAUGAUUGGUAACAUAAAAAGUGUAAGCAUACAAACUAUCUUUUGAAGAUAGCAAUAUCCUAAUCACAUCUCUCACCAUAUUGGUAUCUUUGCAAGCAACAUUUUUCAGCUACGAUCUAGGAAAUGAAAAUAAGCAUGUCUCCAUGAUCUCUUGAAAAGCAGUGAACCACAAACACCCCAAAAGCUUAGCGCAAAUCCUAUAGCCAUUGAAAUGUAAAACCAAUCCACUUCAUCUUUAUCACUCUCAUCAUCUUCAUAUUCGUGAUUCAGAAUAUUGUCAUCUAAACUGCAGUUCACCAAGAGUGGAAGUCCGCAGAGUUUGUUUCCUUGAAAACUCGUGGGAUCAAAGCUUUGAAGUUGAGUGCUCAAUGGUAUCACACCUGACAAAUUAUUAUCAGAUAGAUUCAAUAAGCUCAAAGUGGAUAAACUUGAAAAGCUUUGUGGGAUUUGAUCGUAAAAUUGAUUUUCUGAAAGAUCAACAAAUUCCAAGACUUUCAUUUCACCAAUGUUAUUUGGAAUCCUACCAGUUAGGUUAUUAUUAGAAAAAUCAAAUGAUCUUAAUCCUGCAAGACCUAUUAAACUUACAGGAAUAUCCCCAGAAAGGUUAUUUCUAGACAUAUCCGUACUUGUAAACAACACCAAAAUGGUGUCAUACUGGUACUUGUUGCCUUUAUCCGUCACCAUGGCACUCUCUCUCAAAACUCCAAAAAAGUAGGAAUAAUUAACUCAUCAUCAUCUCCCACUUCCUUUUUUCCUUUGACCAUUGCACUGAAAUCCCCAAUAUACCUUGGUAUGAUUCCAACAAAUGUAUUAUUUGCAAGGUCUAAAAUCUGAAGAUCUUUGAGUUGACAAAGUUCUUGAAGCAAUUCACCAUUCCUCAAAUUACUCUAGUAAGUUUAUUACCAUCUAGUCUCAAUUCCAUCAAAGAAGAAGUAUUUCAUAUCCCUUUGAAAAGAAAUUACUCCUACCUUUGAAUAAUUCAGAUACUGAUUUUUUGAGAGAGAAAGAAAUUCUAAUUUCCCUAAAAUUCCAAUUACAUUUGGUAACUUUCCAGAGAGCAUAUUACCAGAAAGGUCAAUAUUAGUUAUUGAGCUCAAAUUUGAAAUCAGACUUGAAACUGCUCCCACAAGACGGUUUUCACUAAGGUAAAGUGAUUCUAGAUCUUUGCAUCGAUAGAGCCAAUUUGGUAUGGUGGAGUUAAGGUUAUUAUCAUAAAGAUCGAACUAUUUAAGUGUUGUUAUGUUUCCACUCUUAUUUGGUAUUGCACCUUUAAUACCACUAGAACGGAGGUUAAGAUGUUCUAGAUUACUUAAAUCAAAAAACCAUUCAGGUAAAAGACAAUUGAAAGAGUUUUCAAAAGCCUUGAAGGUUGUGAGAGAAGUCAAGUUAACUUGAAAGUCGGGAAAUGGGCCAGUAAAAUUACAAUCACUCAAAUUAAGAGAAACAAGAUUGGAAAGGUUGAAAACCCAUUUGGGAAUAGGUGAAUUAAACCUAGAACUAGAAAGAUUGAGGGUUUUCAGUGAAGAAAAAUUGUGAUGAAGUAGAGUUUUUAUAUUAUUAAGACUACAAUUGGAUAAACUUAGAUCAACCAAAGAAGGAAGCAUGUUAAUAAUCUGUAGCCAAUUAGUUGCUUCGCGGAGAUCCACAUGAUACAUUUCCAGGUUCUCAAGACUCAAAAGAGUUGGCAACCACUCUAGGUUAUCGAUCCAUAGAUAACUAAUGUGUAGUUCAAUCACAUGACGAGUUAGAUAAUUGUUGCACACAACUCCUUCCCAUUCUCAACAAUCUUUUCCGACGACCCAAGAAGAGGGAAUAUCUAAGGGAUCAUCUACUUCUUUCUUCAAGCUCUCCAAUGCUCGUUGUUCAUUUUCUCUACAAAUGACAAACUUGGUAUUUUUCAAAAUAAAAAACAAGAGAACCCAUAGUGUUAUUGCUAACACUUUCAUGUUGUGUAAUAUUUUGGACUGAAUAGUAUGUGUGGCAAGUAUAGUUUCUUGCUAUACGUAUAUAUAGCUAUUAAUAACACAUUCUAAUCAUAUAUGGUAUAGUACUAUAAUUGAAAAUUAAUGUGUAGUUUUAGUAUGAUGAUGCAUGUAAAUGUGGACUGCUUGACUUUAAUAAAUAUAGACGAUCUGAAGUGAGCCAGUAAAUCUUAAGCUAGCUCCACCACUUUGUUAGAGUUGAAAAUUUUAAAGAGUUCUCUUUUUUCUUUAAUUGAGGGCCUGUUUGGCCAUAUGCGAUAUGAAAACAUGAUUUGAAAUCAUGAGAUUAAGUAGAAGUUUUGUUUGGACAUGCAAUUUGAACUUUUUAUAGUGUAUGUUUCUCAUAAACAUAAAAAAAUUCAUAAGUUGUGAAAUUAUUAAAAUUGUCCCAAUUCUUUAUACAAUUUUAUCAAAUAAACAAAAGUUUAUAAAAUCUCAUAAUACAUUAUCACAAAACUAUUAUGAAAAACAACAUUUAUUGAUCAAAUUUUAAUUCAAUAAAAAAAAAUUAAACAUAAGUUGUAGUCUUUAAAUAAAUUUGAUAAAAUAUAAUGAAUUUGGUGAAUAUAAAUCGUAUAGUAGGAAUUGAUUUGAAGUAAUAAUAAAUUUUAGGCUGGUGAGAAUAAUCAUUACAUGAGAUAUAAAUGGUUUAAAAAGUAACUAUAAGAAUUAUAAAUUUUAUUUAAAUAUAAAAUAAAUGGUUAGUAGAUAUAAAUGUGAGAUUUUUAUACAAAUACUUGAGAGUCAAUUUUUAUAUUUGAAAAAUCUCAAAUCAUGAUUUUUGGAGAAUUUGAGAUUUUAAUCUCAUAAUAUAAAAUUAUGAGAUGAAAUCAACGUAAAAUCACAUGUCUAAACAUUAAUUUCAUCUCAUAAAUUUUGUAUUGUGAGAUGAAAUUUCAUGGUCAAAUGACUACUAAUUAAACAAGUCUUCUCUGCAACUUUAUCAAGUGUCCCUGUUUGGGCCAUGCAUGUCCACCAUGCCCACAUUGAUGAAAUCGUUUAGUUGAUAAAAGAGGACUUUUCUUAACGUUUUCACAUUAGAAGGAAAAGAAAAAAAAAGAAGGAUUAAUAAUAAAUACUUCUUUUGUUCCGUAUUAGUUAUUAUAUUUAUUUAUUUUAAAUCUUAUCCUCAUCUCUCAACAAAGCUAGCUACUCUUAUUGGUAUCUGAAUAAUCAUAACAUCAUCAACUAAUAAUCAUGUAUUUGAACUCAGGAUAUAAUCAAUAAUAUUAUUUAUUUUCAAGAACAAUGAAAUAAGGGGAAAUAAUUGUCUUAUAAAAUGACAAAUGUUUUGAAAUAAAUUAAAUAAGUAUUUUAAAUAAUAUUGACAACUAAUAUAAGACUGAGAGAGUUGCUUCCAAAAAAUCAGAGGUUCAAUAGGUAGCAAUGUGGAAAAUCACAUAUCGCAAGAGAGCUUCAAUGGGGUGUAGUCAACUUUCAAAUAAGAAACAGAUUCGGAGUCUGAUGGUAGAGAUUUUCUUGAACUUCCUCUUGGUAUGGUAUGACUCAAAAGACUAUCCAUCUCUUGUCUGCUAUACAUUGGGCAGAAUAGAUUUAUGAUUGCUUUCGUAAAUAAUUUUAGUUUUAGAAAUUCAAAUUUUCAAAUGGAGCUUAAGUGAGCUUUGGCUUUCGAUAAGGAAAUUUAUUAAAGAAGGGUAGGAUAUUGGAAAUUGGAAUGCAUGGUUUUAAACCUAUAAUGACAUUUUUGUGGAAAAAAGGCCCAAAAUAGAUCAUGCUUAUUCCUUUUUCAUAUGGAACACUAAUUAUCCCUCUGGUUUGUAAUUUUGAUGCACUUUUGGUCCUCUUAAACUUUCGUGUAUUUUUAACAUUAGUUUUGUCCACAAUUUAGAGUAUGGAAUGUUCAGUGUUCUUCUUCUAUAUUUAGUAGAAACAAGAACUCUAUGAGGGAAGAUGAGAAGAAGAGUGUUCUAUUAAGAAAACUGAAUUUAGCUGCGAACUUCUUCACUAAUUCACUUGAAGCUAACAUAAAUUGAUCGUUGAGUAAGAGUAAAGAUAAAUUUUGUUGUUUAGCUAUAAAACUUGUCCGUGGCUAAAUCCUAUCUUUUUUAGUCCAAACAUCAUUGUAGCUAAUUAAAUCAAGAGUUUACCUUUAUUUGUAUUGUUGCACAUGAAAUCUUACAUAAUGAGCCUUUCGAUCUCAAAAAGUAAAGACAAGUUUGAGGGCGGACUAGAACUGCACCAAUACUAUAAACAUGAAGUAUUAUUAGUGUUUCAUGUGAAAAAAAUAAGGAUAACAUUCAGUCUGAACUCAAAGAUAAGGGACUAUUUUAAGUCUUUUCUCUAUUUUUGUGCCUAUAAAUUAUGUCAUAAAGGGUAAAAUAAAAAAUUGAUGAUAAUUUCCUUUUGAAUUUUUUUAUUUUGCUCAUGAACCAAUUCCAUAAAAUUUUGGUAUUAUGAAAAAAGAAUGAUCUUUAUGAAAUAUUUGUGGUACAAUUUUCUAUAACCAUUGGAUAUUGGACUAAUAUUUUUUUUUAUGUACAUGAUGAAUAGGGUUGUGAUGCAUCAAUUCUAUUGGAUGGAAACAAUAAUGAGAAAAAAGCAGUCCCAAAUUCAAGUGUUAGGGGAUAUGGACUCAUUGAUGCUAUUAAAGAAGCUUUAGAAGCAGAAUGUCAAGGCCUAGUUUCUUGUGCUGACACUAUUUCUAUGGCAACUAGAGAUGCUCUUGUCUUGGUAAAUUUUACAUUUUAUUUCAUCAUUAUUACUUCCAUAUAUCAUUAGAGAUUUUCUAUGUUACAACUAUAAUUAAGUCCUCUGAUCGCUAUCGAUAUGAUGUGAGGUUAAUUUGCUAAUCGUAACGAACUUAAUUCUAUUUCAAAAAAAAAAAAGACCUCUGACCUAGGUUGAGAAGGGAUUGGGGUCACUUUUUUUUAAGGACUUUAGUUCUCAACAAGGCUCGAAGUCCUUUGACUAGAUUUGAAAUGGAUCAGGUAAAACAUCCGUUUAAAAUAUGAGUGAGACUAAUUAGUAAUUUUCUCUAUUUCUUCGAUGGUACCAUUGAUAGUAUAUAUUUCUUUUUUAAUCUGUCUCAAAAAGAGUGUUGUUUUCUAUAUUAGUAAGUUUUUCAGUUUUGAAUAUUCUAUAUGACAAGUUUAAGAUCAUAAGAUUUAAUUGGAUGACACACAUCUUUAAUCUAAAAUCCACAAUAUUCAAAAGUCUAAUUUUGUUUCUUAAGCUCCGUGCAUAGUCAACUAACGAGUAAUGAGUAACAUUUUUCUCCGUAACUUAUUUGAUUGGCCAUGGAGUUAAGGAAAAACUGAAGAUUCUUAAAACUUGUGGUCUUAAAUAUGCUACAAUAUUUGUACGACUAUAAUACAAUGAGAUUAACUUAUCUUAUUUAGUUUUGAUUAUGAAGUGUCACGGGCUGGAGGAAAAUGGUAUGAUGUAGAAACAGGAAGAAGGGAUGGAGAGGUUUCCUUAGCAUCAAAUGUGAAACUUCCUGCUGCUACAAUUUCAGUGUCUGAUUCCAUCAAACCCUUUGCAAGCAAAAGUCUUACUCAAACAGACAUGGUUUAUCUUCUAGGUAAUUUUCCAUUUUACGGCAUGUGCGCACCUCAACUAUUUUAUCGCGUACAUACUAUCUCCCACUAGGUGAAUAUACCAAGUAACUCUAUUCACUGAAUCUGAGACGGAUCAAAUUAGAAAUUACCUAAUAUUUUCUUACUUUUACUAAGAUUUGAAAAGCGGUGUAUUUAUGGUUCACUUUUCAUUAUGUUGCCUAGUGGGACAUACCUUUGGAUGCUUUCCUUUUUAACCUUUUUAUUUUACAACCUUUAUCUUAUCUUACAUAUUCUUUUUAUGACAAUGGUACUCAAACUAGCUUGCGAGUUGCGUGCACCUAGAGUAUAUACACUAUUUUACUAAAAAUUCAAAGGUAGAGACAUGAUUUAAAUUUAAGGGUUUUAAGCCAUAAUCUUCUUUGGUUGCCGCAUUUUUAGAUAGAUUAAUUAUAAUAUUUAAUAAAUUUUUAAACAUGAAUACAAUAUUCAAGACAAAAUUAUAUAUUGAUGAGUUUUGUUGAAUCCAUAACUCUAGAGUGCAUGCUACCUCGUAACAAUUAAUCAACAUGCUAUGAUGAGUACAUGCUGCCUCGUAACAAUUAAUCAACAUGAUCGCUGAAUAACUUUGACCAUCAAAAUUUUAGACAGAUUGAAAGACAUCACUUCCUGAAAUUUGAACUCUGAUAUGAUUUUCAUCUCAUUUCAUUGACCGUUAAUUACUUGUUUAUUUUCAAUUCUUGGUGGACACAUUGUUGGAGUUGCUCGUUGCUCACUCUUCAAAGAUAGAAUAUACAACUUCAAUAAAACUGGUGGUCCUGAUCCAAGCAUGAGCCCAUGGCUAUUGGCUGAAUUAAAGGAUAAAUGUCCUAGAAUUUCAUUAAUAUUUGAUAACACUUAUCCUCUUGAUGUGAAGACUCCAUCUUUGGUAGAUAAUUCAUAUUUUCAAGAAAUUAAAAAGGGAAAUGGGGUUCUUCAAAUUGAUCAGCAAAUAGCAUUGGAUGAAUUGACAAAGAAUAUUGUUGAUGAUAUUGUUAAUGAUCCUGAUUUUUACACUAAGUUUGGUGAGGCCAUGGUGAAAUUGGGUAGAGUUGAAGUAUUAAUUGAUGGUCAAGGAGAAGUGAGGAAAUCAUGUAGGGUUGUUAAUAAGAAGCCAUUUAUUUUUGGAGGGCUCAAUUAGAAAAAUGUCUAUUUUUUGUUAAUUUAUUUGCUUAUUGUAUAAGUUUUCUUUGGUUACAUUUUUUGUAUUGGAGGGGGGGUAGAGACCCCUCCUUCAUUGAUUAUUUAGCAUUUGAAAUUUUAGUAUUGUUGUACUCUUUUUCUUUUGUGUAUUUUUUAUUCUUCUUUGUAAUUUGAUUGAUUUUUAUUGAAACUACUUAAUUUUAUUUGGAGUUUUUAAAGUGUGAACGAGAAAUGAGAAAAAAACAUACCUUUUUUAUUACACCAAAAAUGUAUUUUUUGGAUUGUACCUUUCCAUCUUAUGACUCUUUUAUUAUCUAUAAACUCAAAGGUCUUGCCUCAGAUUAAAUACAUCGACAAUAUUGAAAUAUAAAAACUUUUUCCUAUCAGUUUUUGGAUUGUUUUCAAAAUAAAGUAAGUGUCGCAGUGAAGUUUGAAUUUGCAAUUACGAUUGCUUGUAGAAUUGGGGAUGUGAUGACACCUAUGUAACCCUCGGAUAGGCAAGCCUACCCAAGAUCACAAAACAAAAUACAAAGCACGAACACGCAGAACUAACAUUUAUGAAUCACUAUAAGUCAUAAAACAAUAUUUUCUCAUAAAACUUAUAAAAUAUGAGGAAAAUAGAUACAACUCUUCCCAAAACCUAGCCUGAAGCGCUAGGCUCUAAACCUGCACAACAAUGUGUUAUAAGAACUUGUUUUUACUACUCCUCUAAAAAAGUUGUUUUUUCAAUUUACGAAAGAAACUUAUUUUCAGAAAAAAUAUUUUUCAAAAUAUGAAAUAAUGAAUACAUACCAAACACACCUUGAGAUAUGUUAUGAGAACUUGUUGUCUCUUUCCAAGAUAUGCCAAUUCCUAGAAGGACUCGCCUUUUUAGUUUGGAUUUCGAGAGUUAAAUUUUUAAAUUUAAAUAGUGAAUUCGGAUAUGAAAAAUUCAAUUUCUUAAAAAUAAAAUUUACGUAUAUGGAAACUACAUAAAAAAAUACUAUUAAGUCAAAAUAUUUAAUUAACAUAUGUCUCACGACUCUGAUUGAAAUAAGAAAAUUGGAACUAUGAAAGAAACACCAUUGUUUGAACAUCUUAAGAAACAUUCAUUUGAGGAAGUUGUUAAGACAUAAAAGUCUACAUAUUGAAUACAAAAUGAUUUCUAACAUGAGAAAUGUAAGCACGCACAGUAACUUUUGAAGAUAGAAAUAUCCUAAACCAUAUCUCUCAACAUAUUGGUAACUUUGCAAGUAACAUUUCCCAGCUACGGUCUAGAAAACGAAAAUAAGCAUGUCUCCAUGAUCUCUUGAAAAACAAUGAACCACAAACACCCCAAAAGCUUAGUGCAAAUCCUAUAGCCAUUGAAAUGUAAAACCAAUCCACUUCAUCUUUGUCACUCUCACCAUCUUCAUACUUGUGAUUUGGAAUAUUACCAUUCGAACUGCAGUUCACCAAGAGUGGAAGUCCGCAGAGUUUGUUUCCUUGAAAAUUCAUGGGAUCAAAGCUUUGAAGUUGAGUGCUCAAUGGUAUCAUACCUGACAAAUUGUUAUCAGAUAGAUUCAAGUAGCUCAAAGUGGUCAAACUCGAAAAACUUUGCGGGAUUUGACCAUAAAGUUGAUUUUCUGAAAGAUCAACAGAUUCCAAGACUUUCAUGACACCAAUGUCAUUUGGAAUCCUACCAGUCAGAUUAUUUUUGGAAAGAUUAAAUGAUCUUAAUCCUGCAAGACGUGUUACACUUAUAGGAAUAUCUCCAGAAAGAUUAUUGCUAGACAUAUCCAUACUUGUAAACAACGCCAAAAUGGUGUCAUACUGGUACAUGUUGCCUUUAGUCGUCACUAUUGCACUCUCUAUCAGAACUCCUAUAUAAUAAGAGUAAUUUAAGUCUUCAUCAUCUUCCAAUUCCUUUUUUUUUUUAACCAUCGAACUCAAAUUGCCAAUACACCUCGGUAUGAUUCCAACAAAUGUAUUGUUUGCAAGGUCUAAGAUUUGAAGAUCUUUGAGGUGACAAAGUUCUUGAGGCAAUUCACCAUCGAAUUUAUUGGACCGAAGGAUAAGGACUAUCAAAGUUGGAAACCUCAUUCCCAACCAAGAUGGUAAUUUUCCAAUAAACUCAUUCUCAGCUAAAUCUAUUUUAUGCAGUUUUGUGCAGUUUUCCAAGGAUGAAGGAAACGGACCGUUAAGUCUAUUUCUUCGUAAGUCUAAUGAUCGCAAAUUACUCAAAACCUCCAUAGAUCUUGGUAAGCUUCCAAUCAAAUUAUUGUCCCUCAAGAUUAAAACUUUCAACUCCGGCCAAUUCAUCCAACAAUCAGGAAUUUCUUCUGAUAAAUCAUUUCCCCCGAGGUUUAAGAUUCUCAAUUUGUAUGAUCCAUUCUUUGCUUCACACAAAAAGUUAGAUAAACCUUUGGAAAAAGAAUUGCUUGAGAGAUCUAGCUCUCUUACAUUGGUUGAAAUCAAUGGUAAUGGUCCACUAAAAUUGUUGGAAGCCAAGUACAUUAGCGGAGAACCACUCUGCUCAUCUGUUGAGAUGAUUGGAACCUCACCAACAAAGUGGUUAUGAGAAAGAUUGAGUAAUCGAAUUUGAGAAGACAAGUUCCAGAACCAAGUUGGAACCUCACCUUGUAUUCCACAAUCUGAUAUGUCGACAUACAUUAUCUGGUUCUGAGUUCGGAGCCACAUGGGAAACGAAGGGCCUAUAUUCCAGCCGCCUAUUAACAUUGUUGUGGCUUGAAAAGACGGAAUCCAAUUCCGACUCACUUUUAAAGUCAGAUUAUUUCUAGAUGCAUAAAAGUAUUGUAAAUGUGUUAAUUUAGAGAAAUGACUUUCCGUUACAACGCCUUCCAACCUAUUGUUAUAGAUGGAAAAGUCUUCUAGCAUUGAAAGUUGGCCAACACUUUCCGGAAGAGCUCCUGUGAGUUUAUUCCAACCUAGUCUCAAAGUAGAUAAAGAAGAAGUAUUUCGCAAUGGCACUGAAAGGAAAUUACUCCUAACAUUGAAUAAUUCAUAUAUAUCUCCCUCAAACAGAUUUCCUGAGAGUUCAAGGUAUCCUAAUUUCCCUAACUUUCCAAUUACAUUUGGUAACUUUCCAGAAAGCAUAUUAUUAGAAAGGUCAAUAAUAGUUAUUGAGCUCAAAUUUGAAAUCAGACUUGAAACUGUUCCUUCAAGACGAUUUAAUCCAAGUUGAAGUGAUUCUAGAUCUUUGCAUUGAUAGAGCCAAUUUGGUAUAGUGUAGUUGAGGUUAUUGCUAGAAAGAUCAAGAUGUUUAAGUUUUGUUAUGUUUCCGCUCUUACUCUGUAUCACACCUUCAAUGCCACUAGUAGAAAGGUCAAGAUGUUCAAGAUUAUUCAAAUCAAACAACCAUUUGGGUAAACGACAAUUGAAAGAGUUUCCAGAAGCCUUGAAGGUUGUGAGAGAAGUCAAGUUAACUGGACCGUCAGGUAACGGGCCAAUAAAAUUACAAUCACUCAGGUCAAGAGAAACAAGAUUGGGGAGGUAGAAAACCC
rnacentral:lncRNA from 1 species